rnacentral:lncRNA from 1 species
UACACGUCGUCUAGACAAACCUCAACUCAAUGGUGGCAGAGCAUUAAUGAACCUCAAUCCGAUCCUAUGACAAUAGAGCUUGAUUCAUUAUCAACAAACCUUAAUCCGGUGAAUUAGAGGUUUUAUUUUAUAUGGCGGGGAUGACUCAUCAUGAGGUAAGAGGAGGAAGUAUGACAACAGCUUGACCUAUGACAAGGAGGCCAAGGACAAGAGGUUUUUGGCUCUCGCUGGUUUCCCCGCUCCUCCAAUUUGGACAACCGCUUCCUCGGCUUCGCUUCAUCCUCCCCUUCUCUCCCCCCUCCCCUCCCCUCCCACCCCACCCUCGCCCCGCUCCUCGCCCGCUCCGGCGUGCGUUCCCUUCCCCGGCUUCCAACCCUAGCCCUGUCCUCCUCCCGCCGCCUCCCAACCCUCUCCUCCUCCUCCUCCUCCUCGGUCGCGCUUCCCCUUCCCCAUCUCGCCGCCGUUUCUUGGGUCCGGGACACGCUCCUCUAGCUGUCCGCGUAUGGCCUCCGACGGCGCCGCCAGAGUCCGCCCUCCCAAGCUCCCCGUUUGGGAAGGCCUGGACCCAUCCAACGUCCUCACCUACAAGAGACGCCGCCGCGGCACCGGCGCCAACGCAGGCCACAUCGCCGUCACGCCGAGCCCCGACCCUGUCAAGGUACGCAUUUCCCCUCCAAACCCUAGCUCCCCCCUCCCCCCAACUCGUCGUUCUUUGCUACGACGACGACGUGGGUUUUAGUACAGCGAGCGUCUCUCCGGCCUCGCGGUGCCUUCAGUUACUCGUAGAUUUCCUUCAUAUGCCGCCAGAUUUCGGUUCCGUCUUGCGAGAUUCCCUUUCUAUGUCGCAGCGUUUGCUCUCGAGCCUAGGUUUUCCUGUAAUGCUGCCACUCGUCUUCUUGGGCGUGCACACGUCUUCUUGGGUGCCGAAUUAUUGGUCAGUCAUGGCAUUUGCUUCUCGAGAUUUGUCAUUUAUUCCCCUGUUUCCUCCCCUGGGCAGAAUAAGAUGAGCGCGGUGGUGCACGCCAUCAAUUCCCAGCAAGGUGGGCGCCAAAUGCUAGACAGGCACUGGAGAAGCUGGAGGGACACGCUGGAGGGCGUCCUGCAAUCCACUCCUGGGAACCAGAGCGCCGGAGGGAUUCAGAGCUGCAUCCGAGAUGCGCUCAGAUAUAAUGGUUGCCAUCCCAAAGAACAUGUUAGUAAUCCAUCCAGUCCUUGAGAUUGAACAUAACCUGUGCAUGCCCACCUUGUGUAAUGGUACCUUCUCACUUCACCCUAACAAAAUAUUCUAUUUUUGUUUUCUGGAUCUACCAGGGGAACUUAGCUGAUGGCCGAGGAGCAGGCGGAGAGGACCCUGUUGGAGCUGUACAUUCUGAAGAGAAUAAUGCUGCCUUUCAGUUAGAAGAUGGAACGGCUGCAUCUUUGGAAGCCAACAAGGCAGUGUGCCAUAAAGCUCUUUUUGACAUUCUAAUCUCCGAGAAGUUUGCCAUGCUUUGUGAUCUGCUAGCUGCAACAUUCCAUGUCAAUACGCCUGAUGACGUGAUUGGCUUGCAAAUAAUUGAUGCCAAGAUGAGAAAUGGGGAUUAUGCACAGAACCCUGCGCUGCUUGACCAUGAUAUCAAAAAGGUACCUGUUCAUUUGUUUGCCUCGUUCCCCCUUUUUUUUUCCCUGUGCUGUUUUCUCUGAUAUAGAAAAAGAUGUAGCUGUGGUUCUACUUGAGAGCCUAUGGUAGGUUAUUUCAGUGCUCAAAAUUUGAAAACUGUCCCUUUUUCUUGUCUGUUUGACUACAUAUUGAUUCAAAAGGCCAUAUAGUCAUGAUUCUUCCCGUGUUUGCUGCCUGUUUUAGUCCCUUUUUCCACCGCAUCGGUUGGCCCUUGCAAAUUCUUCUAAUAACCGUCCAAAUUCCAAACAUCAGAAUCAUUUUCCUAUGUGACUGUAGCUGGAAUAGGUCUGCUCAACCAAAAGGGCAUAUAUUUAACCUCAUAGCCAUGCUUCUCUACUGGCUUGAGGCCAAUCAGAGAUCUAUUAUUACCUCCUUUUCUAAUAAAGGACAUCUAAUAGCUGUUUCUUGUGGGAAGGGAUGAACAGUCUUGGUCUUCAUGAAUCUGUGCUCUGUUCCUCUCUGCCCAUGUCAUCCGCUGCCCUUGACCUCACCUUGCCAACUUCCUUGGACUUCUCUUGAAGUGAAUCACAAGGUGAUGGUAGUCAUGAAUGCACAUAAAUCGGACAUGGGUUGCAUACUUGCGUCACGCUGACGUACACAACUACUCAAUAAGUAUGUUUAAUCCAUGUAUUUUGAGGAAGCAUUUAUUUACCUUGUUCACUUCUGUUCUUAAAUGAAAGAAGGCAAAAACAGGAAAGUUAUCUUAAUAUUUUUGGGGGCAAGGAAUAAGCAGUUAGAUUUGAUUUGAUUUGUGUGUUAGUACCUCCUAUAUAUCUCAAUGGCCAAAGAGGUCCUCUGAUAUUUGUUUUCCCAUUUUUCUCUCAUCUGUAAAUCCUUUUGUUUGAUGUUAUUCAUGUACCAAACACCCCCAGAAGUUACCAUAAACAUGCAGUUGAAAACAUGCCAUCAAUGCUGUUUGUUUCUUUUAAUAUGUAUGUAUAUUUGUUUAUUAUCUAGAUAUGGAAGAAGAUUGAACAUGUUGGCCAACAAAUGGCUGGUCUGGCAAGCAGUCUCUCACUGAUUUCACAAGCUUCUCAUCAAAAGCAGGUAACAUGAGUUUUCUGUUGGUGUUUCGUUGGCAUAAUUUAUGGUGAUAGCCAUAAAUUUUGAUUCAGGGUGUUGUAUUAUUGAAAUCAUUCCAUUUAUGUUUGCCAUUGCUUAUAGAAAUAUUCUUUGUAGGCUUCUGGCGUUUCAGAAAUUGAUGUGGCUGAACACAGGAUAGAGGUGAGUGGUGUGCUAUGAACAUGUCUGCUAACCAUUGUUUCGUCAUUAGAAUAUGUUAAAUGCCAUUCAUUACUAACUGCACUCUUUAUUAGGAAACAAGUUUGGUUGGUGUUGCCCACAAAGCCCUAAGGGAGUUGACUCCCCCUUGCGAUUCUGGCCAUUCUACGAUACCAAAUGGACCGGAUGGAAUUUGCAAGGAUUGUGGCAGAAAGGCAGACAGCGGAGGAAGAAUUAUCUGUGAUAGAUGUGAAGCCACAUACCAUGUUUCAUGUCUCAAGCUUGCCAUUGAUGAAGAGGCCCCAGCAAAAUGGUACUGUCCCACCUGUGUUGGAUUAGAUGGACCUUCAAAGAAUGACAACAAUGGCAGAUCACAUGAAGGCUGCGAUGUAUGCGAGUGGCUUGUGUUCGAGAAACCUGAAGAACCGGCUGAGGAUGUUAGCCAACCUGAAUUGGCCGUCAAAACACAGGAGAGCUCAGUGUCAAGCAUGGAUGAAGAUAGUGAACCAGACCUCUCAACAACUGCUCUAGCAAACUUGUGCAAGCAUUGUGGCACAUGUGAAGAUGAGAACAAGAAGUUCUUGGUAUGCGGCCAUCCUUAUUGUUCUUACAAGUUCUAUCAUGUGCUGUGCAUGAAAGAAAGCCAGAUUGCAAGUGAGAAGCAGAAGAAGCAAGCAUGCUGGUACUGCCCGUCUUGCCUGUGCAGAUGCUGCUUCAAGAACAAGGAUGAUGAAGAAAUAGUAUUGUGUGAUGGCUGUGAUGAUGCUUAUCACAUUUACUGCACUGUCCCGCCGCUCGAUUCUGUCCCGAGAGGUAACUGGUACUGCAUGUCAUGUAAUGCACGGAGGUCAGCGCGUGGGAUGCAGAAGUACGAGGAGUCAAUCCUGCAGAAGACCAGUCGUGUUCCUGAUGCCAAAAGGCCAAAGGUGCAGGCAGCUGCUCCAGAAAAAUAAGUAGCAGCGGUGUGGAUGAGGUUUCACAGGCUUACUAGGGUAAAAGAAAGGAAAUGAUUCUUUUGCCCCCCUGAAGGGGUAUACAUUACUCUUGACAGCUUGAAUAAUCGGAGGAUGGGUUGUGUAUACAUUGGGAAAACGCCCUGUUGGCUGGUGAAGAUGAGAUGAUAGCAUCCGUGUGGAUGCGCACGUUGGUCCCUGCGGAUGAACUGCUGAUAUUGAUUUCCUGUCCUGUUUCUAUUUUUUCCUUCCUGGAAUUCUUGUGACUAUUCCGUGUAAGUUGUUGUGCUGUUAUGUUGUGUCUUCCCUUUACCUGAUGGUAAGUGGUAACAAUGACACCCACCCAUGUUGACAUCGCUUAUCGAUGAUAUGUACAUGUCUGCCACGUGUUUUGUUUGUGUUAAACAAUGUGUGCUCUUCUUACAUACUUUUGCAUAGCUUGUCAUCGAUGUCUGAAAGUUUGUUACUGCUAUUAUAUAUGUCUCUGAUUGAACCCGUAAGGCAGAGAACUUGGGUGAUAGCUGCACAAUUAUGCAUCUUCUAUUUUUUUUUUUUUUUGGAAUGUGGGUUUGAAUCGUGAUGACUUUGGUAGCAUGGUGACGCAGAAGGCCUGAGAACCUUUGGUGUCAAUGCAGCGUACCCUGCUUGUGCCUAAAUUAGUUAGACGGAUAUGGCGGGAGUGGUUUCCUUCAUAGUCGUACUACCUUUGAUGGUACUGAGACAUUUUUUUUAAGGAAAUGGUACCGAGACUUGAAUGGUUGCCUGAAUUCAGAGAAUUUGGGUGUGCAUGUACCAUCAUGCGCGCGCGUGCGCAUGUGGAAGGCCAACCAAAGUUCCUUACAUCGAAUGGGACAAAAAAUUCUAAUUUGGUUUUUGGCUUUUCAUAUAUGUUGUGUUAUAUAGAUAGAUAUACACUAUGUCUAUAUACAUAUGUAUCUAGAAAAGCUAAACAUCUUAUGAUUAUAAAGAUUUAGAACAGAUUUAGUAGCGGCUCCGGCUUCGGAUGAAGCCUUAUGAGCUAGAGCCAUUUUCCUACUCGAUGGGUGGAGCCAUGAGAACGUGACUUUUUCUUGCUUUUCUUUAUAAUUUGAUAUAAAUUUUAGCAAAACUGUGAUUAGAGUCUUCUUGUCAAACAUUUUCCAAAACAGUUAUGGAGACAAAUGAGAUGAGCUGCUGCAGCUUUCACUUUCGUCCAAAAAAAAAAACCCUCCUCUGAAAAGAGAGAAGGCAAGGGAGCAGGAUUGCAGGAGUAGCCAAGGGGGGACAGAAGAGGAGGGCAGAGAAGGCACACGUAACGCGUGGCAACAGGCAACUCAUCACAUCAUCAGUUGACGGACGGAGUGCUGAAAAAUCGAAAAUUAAUAAUCGCAUCAUCACGCCAACUGAAUUCCCAACCUAAAACCAAACCGAAGGAAGCAACAGAAUAUCCCCCCCGGCCCCUUUCAACUCGUCUUCCUGCUCCGUCCGCCCUCCUCCUUCUUCCUCCUCCUCAUGUCGCCUCCUGUCCAUCUACAUCUUCUAUUCUAAUCCACCUCGAUCGAUCUUGUCUGCUCGAUUGGACCCUAGAUAGAUAGGAGAAAAGAGGAGAGCAUUUGUGGUUGGAUAACUGGGCGGAGCAGUUUCUCAUAUCGAAUUGAUCGAUUAAUUAAUACAUACUAAAUAUAUAUAUAUAGUUAUUAUAUACGCCAAGAGAAUAGAGGAACGCCGGCCGGUUUCAGUUGUCUCCUUCCUCCGAUCCCUCCCUGCCUGCCUCGGCGGCCGGCUGGGCUCGGGCGUUUUCCUUUUUUUCCCUUCCCAUGGAGGACGCCAAGAUGGGGAACGCCGCCACCAUCCGCGCCGUGCUCGCCAUCCUCCAGUGGUGGGGAUUCAACGUCACCGUCAUCAUCAUCAACAAGUGGAUCUUCCAGGUCCGUCACGCCCACCAUCCCUUCCUAUUUGGGUUUUCUUUCCUCGUCAGUUUUUUUUUGGUUGUUUCAAUUCAAUUCCCAGAGAUGAUCGUGUAUAUAGUUGUGUACUUGUGUUAUAUUCAAGGCAAUUUAGGGGUGGAUCCGUGAGGAAGGUAGCGACUUUAUUUCGUUCCAGAGAUUUUGCCUCUUUUUAGUUUUCGUCUUCCUCACAUCGUUCCAUGGGUGCAGAUUAAUCGCCCAUGAUGCUGUCGUCUUGUCUACUGUUUUGGCAGAAACCAAAAGGAAUCAUCUUUUUGUCUGUCUGAGAAUUACUUCCACUGGUGGUGUGUAGAUUGGGUUGGGAUGUUUAUGAUGGAGUCAGAACAGUAGGGUUUUCUUUUUCCACCCGGAUUGGGAAUGGGCAAUUAACGGACUGUCUUGAUGAAUUUCAGAGUUUACAGUCUUGAUGAAUUUUAGAGUUAACUCGUGAGAUAGACAGAAUGUAAACGCCGCCUUUUUCUUGUUGACAACCAUUCUAGCAUAUGGUACAGCUGAAAAAGCUUUCCUCAAUCAAGAAAAUAAGUUUGGCGUCCAGUCUCCAGAUUUAAUUGUAAUUGUGGUAGUCCUAGAAACAACAUCUGUGCAUUUGAAUUUCUUAACCUUGUGACCUAUAUGUAUAUCCUGCCAUUUUUUCCCAUCAUAAACAAAAACCAGAAGGCAAAAUGAAAAUGGAUGCAGGGUUAACAAUAGCAUCCAGAUUGCACCUUUGUUCAGCUAUGUGAUUUCUUAGACUACAAGUAGGCAUGUGGUAUGUACAGUACUACAGUUUGCAACCAUGCAUGUUCCUAUAGAUUGUCGUUUACUUAAAGUUGUUGGAAUGAGCAGCAAGGUUCUUUUUCUGUCACGCUGACUCUGGAUUUGAUGGAGUGUCAACAUCUAGGAUCAUCUUUGACUUUGGCAGCCUUAGUGACAAAUGCCCUGCCAUGUUUGGUUGCCAGUUCCAUGAUAUCUUGAUAUUUAGAAUCCAAACAUUUCCCUUUAAGCUUCUAAUUCCCGAGAUUGUUUCUUGAGGAGGAACUCUGUUGAAAUAUUUUGCUUGUUUCUUGACUUGACAUGCUAGCUUGGUAAUAAUGAGAUGGAUUAAUUGAUUCUGCAUUUACGUGAUGAUUUCUAUUGUGAAUUAGCACAAAUAUAAAUAUGUACCUAGAAAGUAGACUCUGCUUGUUUUGUUCUUCAAGGAAUCCUCUACUAACAUGUGCUCUCUGUCAGAAAGACCCUUCAAGAAGAAGCUUUCUGUUUCUCCCUUUCCAUUUAAUUAUUUGAUUUGUGUUGUCUUUUGUUGCUCUGAUGUUGGUAAGGGACAGUUGAUGAUACUAGGGACAGUUGAUGAUACUAGUACUUUCCAUUGCCGCUUGCCUGGCACAAAGGCAUGAACUUGACGAUCUUGAGGUCAAAUUUUGCAGAAACUGGAGUUCAAGUUCCCUCUGACGGUGUCGUGCGUCCACUUCAUAUGCUCUUCUAUCGGAGCCUACAUCGCAAUCAAAGUUCUGAAAACAAAGCCACUGAUCGAGGUUGCCACGGAGGACCGAUGGAGAAGGAUAUUCCCAAUGUCAUUCGUGUUCUGCAUAAACAUUGUGCUGGGGAAUGUGAGCUUGCGGUACAUUCCGGUCUCCUUCAUGCAGACCAUAAAAUCUUUCACUCCUGCAACCACAGGUUAGUUUCUUUUCUUCUAUGAUGAUCUUGUCAUUCUAUAUUUUCCUGUUCUGCAUUCGUGCAGAACGAUGAUAGUUUCUGACAAAGCAAUCUCUUCCAUUGAGACGAGACGCAGUGAUUCUUCAGUGGUUGGUGUGGAGGAAAUACUUCGAAUGGCGCAUCUGGGCUUCUUUGAUCCCUAUUGUGGGAGGCAUUCUUCUGACUUCGGUAACUGAGCUGAGCUUCAACACGUUUGGCUUCUGCGCCGCCAUGGUGGGCUGCCUGGCCACAUCCACAAAGACCAUUUUGGCAGAGUCACUGCUCCAUGGAUACAAAUUCGACAGGUAUAGUACAAGUUACUAUAAUAGUAAAAGAUAUGAUCUUGAUUUACAUUUACUGCUUGAUUGGGUUUCCAUGGAUAGAACAGAAGGUUAAAAUGUUCUUGUAUGUGUGACUUUGUGCAGCAUCAACACGGUGUACUACAUGGCUCCCUUUGCGACGAUGAUCCUGUCAGUGCCAGCCAUGGUGCUGGAGGGCAGCGGCGUGGUGAGCUGGCUCUACACGUACGAGUCCGUGGGGCCAGCGCUGGCGAUCAUCGUCACGUCGGGGGUGCUGGCCUUCUGCCUCAACUUCUCCAUCUUCUACGUGAUCCACUCGACGACGGCCGUGACGUUCAACGUGGCCGGCAACCUCAAGGUGGCCGUGGCGGUGCUGGUGUCGUGGAUGAUCUUCCGGAACCCCAUCUCGGCCAUGAACGCCGUCGGCUGCGCUGUCACGCUCGUCGGCUGCACCUUCUACGGCUACGUGAGGCACCUCAUCUCGCAGCAUCAGGCCACCGUGGCGACCGGCGGCGGCGGCCCCCGCACGCCCAGAGGCCGCUUGGAGAUGCUGCCGCUCACCGCCGAGAAGCAAGGCGACAAGAUAUAGCAGCAGCUGCUGCUGAGUGGAGAUGCUGCCACAGCUCUUCUUGUUCUUGGUCAUAUCAUAUCGUCAUUAGUAAUAGAGAAAGGAAAGGAAUAAACCAACAAGAUAUACACAUCUGAUCUGAAUAUCUGAUCGAUCUAACGGCAGUUUCAGUUUCAGAAUCCAUCGAUCAUCAGAGAUGACCUAAUAGUUGAGUUUUAGAGAAAUGGAUGGAAGCUGAGUUGGUGUAGUUGCCAAUUCUUUUUGCUCAUACACAUACUAGCAUCUUUUCUCUUGUCUUUUUUGUGUUUGUAUUGAUUGAUGAUGAUGAUAAAUUUGGCCAUCCAGAUUUUGGUAUUGUCAAUGUUGCUACAACUACUGCUGUAGCUGUCGAUUUCAUCUUUACCAUCUUUACAACUACAAACCUGAAAUGAUUUUGUUGCCAACCAGAUUCUGAUAAGAGUGUGACCUGUCAGUGUUGCUUACAGAGAAAUUUCAGGUCUAUAAAAGAUUUGGAAUGAUAUAUCUUCGUCGAAUCAUAUGCAGCGUAUUCUCGUUAGAAUUAGAUAGAAGGCAAAACAAAAAGAUAGAGAAAAAAUGAGUUACUUACAAAUUUGUUUAUGUAUAUAUGGAUUUAAAAAGCUAAGCUGCCGUACGAAUUUGCAAGAAACAGAGUAGGGUGAGGCCUUAGAAGCAGAGUACCAAAAAAAAAACGAAUUCGGAAGAAACAGAGUAGGGUGAGGUGUUAGAAGCAGAGGACCCAAAAAAAACAAAAAACAAAUUGCACGCUCGGUGGGACUCGAACCCACAAUCCUUUGAUUAGAAGUCAAAUGCCUUAUCCAUUAGGCCACGAGCGCUUGUGUGAUACGGAUACAUGUGUAACUUUUAAGACUAUUCGGUUUACUACGUUGAUUUUGAAUCUGACUCUGACAGAGUACAUGAAAAACGUGACUUGCCCUUAAAUCUAACUAAAUACAUAUUACCUUAGAAACCAAUAAAGCCAAGUUAACUAUAGAUCUUGCUAGGGUUGUAGAAACUUUUGGAUGGGAUCUUUGCUAAAGCAACUCCAAAAAUCUCUCUGUUGGUGAUAAAAAUAUAGGUUUUUGGAUAUUGUCUUCCUCUUUCCUAUUUCUCACUGGCCAGAGUUGGAGAGCAGUGUUGCCUCUCUAAAGUGAGCACUAAGAUAGAAAGAAGUUAUUGAAGGGUAAAAAGACAUAGAAAGUAUUUUUUUUAUUCAAAUAAUUUUCUAAGUGAUGAUUUAUGGAGUAAAUUUAAGAAAAAAAAGUUAGAGAUGCUCUUAUAUGCUGCGUGACACAAUUUGGCUUUUUUUUUUGAAAGACGACAAGAGCUUUGCUGAUUUUUAUUAUACGAAUAAAAAGAAAACAAUACUAAAAAUUACAACCACUAACGCUGCAGCGACUUCUUCUUUUUUUUUUUGAGGAAGCCAUUCGGCGUACUUUAUCGAUCUUAAAAAAUAGUUACAUCAUUCACUAAACCUUCUAAUAUAAAGCUAGGGGGUUCAUCGACCCAAAUACAAGAAGAUUUUAAUGUAAUAGCUACCCUAGCUAAUUCAUGUACCACUCUAAUGGCUUUACGAUUACAAUGUUCCUAUUGAAACAAACUUUUGCCAAAGCUGAUUACGCUGCAGCGACUUCUGUACUACUUGUUCCGCCACUAAAACUACUAAAGACACAACUUGGCUUUGUGCUGUCAGUUUUAAGUUUUAACUCGUUGCAACCGCCGAGCUGCUUGUGCUCCAACAAUUCAAACGAAGCCCAACCCAAUGUGCCAACCAGCCGGCCUAAUGUACUCGAGCCUAGUUUUCCAUUGAUUGGGAGUUCGGGACUGGCCCGUUUCCAUUGUUUUUUAGUCAAUCUAGUGUCCUACUUGUGGGUGAAAAAAACGGUACUCUCCCUAGUCAUAAUAAUUAAUAAGUGGGGGUUUUGGAUGCCUGUAGUCAAUUAACCAUUUGUACCUUUCAUUCAAAAUUCACUCUUAUAUGUUGAUAUGAUCCAUUUAAAAAUUAUAUUAGUAAAUUUGUAUGUUUUGUUUUGUUUUGUUUUGUUUUGUUUUGGGAACUAUAUAUUGAUGUCGAGAAUACCAUUUAUCUAUGAUUGAAGAAAGUACAUUUUAUUAAAGAACUUUGAUCGUACAAAACUGGAAUGAAUAUAACAUUUCAGUUGUAGUCCUUUGAUAAAGUACCUAAAGUCCACACCAUUGUUCUGUAUUUAUUUUUUUCUUGCCUGGAUUGGAAUGAAUAUAACAUUUCAGUUGUAGUCCUUUGAUAAAGUACCUAAAGUCCACACCAUUGUUCUGUAUUUAUUUUUUUCUUGCCUGGAUUCACUGAGGGGCCAUUUAGAAUGCUGGUUCUUUUAUCUUGAUUUUUGUAUUUUUUUUCUAUAAAAUUAGACAUAAUCCUUUGAGUUGAUAUACUAUUUAUUUAUGUGAAAUGCAUGUGUUCCAAAGGGACCUUGUUAAGAUAGGCAUGAGAUUGAUUGGGAGAACAAUUUGGGGCUGUUUGGGACUGCUUUUGUGCUGAUUCUAACGAAAAGAAGCAAGUCACCCUCUCGAAAUGCUGCAAUUCGGAGGCAAUUUCUACAACUGCAUGGUCAGACUUAGUUCCUAGAUAGAACAUGAAAGGAACUUCUCCUCAUAAAAAAAGCUCUGCUCCUACCUUUUUUCCUUGUCACGGUCCUUCUCCACGCCACAACCAACUCAUCCCCCAUAUUCCUCCAUCCCAUCAAUUUUCAUCCUCUCCACACCACUCAUCUGCCCUGCCGGUUCAUCCUCUGCCUAUCGGGCUCCUCCUUCGUGCACCGCAACACCGGCUAAACAUCCUCCUUGUCUUCCUCACUGGGGGAGGACAAGGUAGCGACAACCCACAAGAAGCAUUUGCAACAAGAAGCAACGACGACAACUUCGAGCUGAGGGGGCCAAGUUGAUCUGUGGCUAAGGACAAAGGUAGCCGUAUUUUUUCUGCCAGCCAGCAGUGUUUUUCUCUCACAAUAAAUCAGCCAAUAGUAAUUUCAACCUUAACUUUUCAGACCAGCGAACAAGCCGGCAGCAACUUGCAGCAGUGAGGGUCGUCAUGCGGCCUUCGCCGAAUUCUCUUCACCUCCUAGUUCUCCAUGGAAGCUGACUCCUAAACUCUAAACUUUUCGGCUAUUUGUUUUUUUAGGGAUUUAGCUUAUUAGCCAAAAAUAACAGUUUUAAAAUAAAGCGUGGUCAAAUAAAGCUCCAGUCGAGGACGGACCUACACACAAGGAGUGAGGGCACGAACUGCCACCUAAAUUAUAGGUUUUUAAAGAAAACAUAUAUAUAUAUAUAUCUUCUUUCACGUAGCUUAGGUGAACAUAGGAGGGUGAAACAUUUCAUAUUCCUUAAUUAAAAAGAAAAAAAAAGUUGUAGAGGUCUAACUCAAAUUUCGUACUAGCGGUUUCGCCCCUAUUGAGUGAAUUGAAUUUAAGCAGGGGGUGGCGAUAUGAUGAUGAUGAUGGUUGUCGAGUCUUGGCGGCAUCUCAUCGAUGAUCUGCCGGACGCGGCAAUGCAGCAAAAUAGAGUUAUUACUAGAGUAGUACGAGAGUUGGAAGAAAGAAAGCAGAGGAUGGAUGGAGACGUUUGAAAGGAGACGAGACUUACUCGCAUGGCCGCUCGGGCCGGGCCGGGCCGAGGGGCAAACCAUACAAAUCCAAUUAUCCAUGCAACUUAAAGCAGGUGCAGCUCAUUUUCUGAUUUCUGUUGUAGGAUAGGAUAGUACUAGCAGUAGUAUUUCCGUUCUGAUGAGCUAGCAUGGCAUGCAUGGCAAUCGAUGGAAGCAGCACGAAAAAGGCGAUGCCAUGCCUGCCGAUGAGCUAGCCGGCUAGCUGCAGAUAUGACAGCAUGAUGAGUGAUUCGAUGGACUGCCUCGUAUCAUAUCAUAUGCCUAUUGCAACUAUGCUUAUGCUUUCCUGGCGCAGCUGGGCAAUCGAUCGAAGCAAUUUGCAAAAGAAAUGCAUGAGCGAGCGAGGCAGGCAGCUAGCUACACGAGCUAGAUCCUGCAAAAAGCGCGCUAACUUUGCAGUGCCGCCGCUCCUCCCAUCUCAUGCAUCUUUAAUCUUUCUUCAUACAGUAUAGAGGAGUGAGAGAAAGGAUCUUUACAACUUGCAUUGGCCGUCAAAAAAGUGAUGAUACGUACAGUACAGUCCAUGCUGGCCUCUGUUUGUUGUCUUGUUUCCUUCAAUAAUUCCUUAGCUAGCUAGCUUGCUUAUUUUUUUCAAACUUAAUUGAAUUCGAUUCAGUGUCAGCUAGUUUGUUUCCUCGUCAGGCACGCAUGGACGUUGUGCUUGCUGUUCGAAAACGAGCUAGUAUCCAGCCUCUUCUCUGACUGUGCAUGGCGGGCGUAUAUGGCCACCACAUCAUUUCCCAUGACGACCCAGAGCAUGCAUGGUUUCUUUUCUUUCCAGCCUUUUGUACUGUAAUUGCCAAAUGCCAGCAACCGUGCUAGCUGUUUGCUGCAGCAACUUUGCAUGGCCAAAUGGCAGCAACCUUGCUAAUAACUACAUGCAUGUGUGUCUAAAUAUUGAUAGGAUAGGAUGAGGUGAAAAGUUUUUUGUGGGUUUGCAAUUGCAGGCCAGCCGAUCUCGAAUGACACGGACACUGCAGGAUCAUCAUUAUUCAUGAAUGCAGUCGUAUAGACCUAUAUAUCGAUGGAUCGAUUGCGAAGUAGGUAACAGUACGUCUAGCAGCUCCUCAGAGGCACGCAUCAUGAGUUUUCCGCAAAACUAGGUCAGAUACUACCUAGCAAUGCAAAACCAAAGGGGAUAUAUACUGCACUGGACACGAUCAACGAUACGACUCAGACAGCCAAGACUCAGCUCCGCCGUCGUCUCGUCGUCCUAUACCAUAUAGUAUUAUACUACUGGAUGGUACCGUGGGAUCGAGCUACUAUCAUGUAUGCAAUCGAUCGAUAUCGUUGCCUAGCUACCAUGCAUAUAGCAGCUGCAGCCACACUCCAUGAUACUCCUACGACAUGGCAGUGCAUGCAGCCUUAUGCAUGGCCAGCUACAGCGCUAGAGCGACUCUUUCCUGUUGCAUGCAUCCAUCAUCAUCCAUGCCACUGCAGCUGGACUACUCUACACUGCAUGCAAGAUGAGUGGUAUCUCACUCACUUGCAUUGCUGCUAGCUGCAGCCUUGUACACCAAAACUUUCAAUAAUGUGACGUAGCGUGUACAUGCUCAACAUGUACUAUCUACACCAUCCAAAAUUGCUUUAAGAUUCGUGCAUUUUUACUCUCCCACUACUACUUCAUACUUUUCCACUGUUGCUUCACAUUACUGAUUUGGAUUGCACACAUCUCAAUGCAAUGUUGAACGGUGAAGAUAGCAGGUGUUGAAAAUGUAUGCACCAAAAAACUGCGUUCCAAAACUUUCCUUCAACACCAAAACUUUCCUUCAGUGUAGUCAAGGCUCAAGAGCCAGCCGAGCCGACCUACACACACCUAGCUAGAACACAGGCCUAGCUAGCUAAUAUGUAUCAUUACACUCGAUCGUGUUUUUUUAUACCAUGUGUGUUCUUCAUUCCUAGCUGCUGAUAUAUUUGCUUGAUUAGCUAGGCUGCCAACUCAACAAGAUGUGUGUGUGUGUGUGGAUGUGCAUGGUGCUUUGAUACAUCCACCAACCAUACUAACUUGGACUCAACAUGCAUACACAUGUUUUAAGUUCCUUCUCGGUGUGGUAGCAACACCACCUGCUUUAAUUUGAAACAGCAGAGAGAAAGAGAGAGACCGAUCGACAUGGAAGUUAUGCAAUGGCCAUAAUGUUGGGAGAAAAUGGAACAAACCGCCGUGUGACAGCAUCAUAUAUAUUCCCUCCGUCCCUGAAAGAAUCAAUUCCUAGGAUCCGUGCCAGUCAAACUUUUUAAAGUUUGACUAAUUUUAUAAAAAAGAGUAACAACAUCUAUAAUAUAAAAUACACAUUAUAUGAAAAUAUAUUAUAUGAUGAAUCUAAUAAUACUAAUUUGAUACUAUAAAUCUUAGUAUUUUUUUCUAAAAAUUUGGUCAAAGUUUAAAAAGUUUGACUUAGAACAACUCUAGAAAUUGACUCUUUCGUGGACGGAGUGAGUAUUCCAUCCAGUACUGCACGAAUAAUCAAUGCCCAGCUGUUCCAGAUCGAAUAGCAUGCAUACGACGACAGUAGAGUGGAGAGACAGGACUGGUCGUACAACGCAAGCGUCGUCCUGACAAGUCAGUCGUCCGAGAUCGAUCCAUGCAUGCAUGCAUCAUCAAGUAAGACCUUGUUUAGUUCCGAAAAGUAAAAAGUUUUCGAUACUGUAGCACUUUCGUUUGUUUGUGACAAAUAUUAUUCAAUCAUGAACUAAUUAGGAUCAAAAGUUUCGUCUCGUGAUUUACAGCUAAACUGUGUAAUUAGUUUUUGUUUUUAUCUAUAUUUAAUGUUUAAUGCAUGUGCCACAAGAUUCGAUGUGACAGAGAAUCUUGAAAACUUUUUGGUUUUCAGAGUGAACUAAACAAGGCCUAACUAAUUAACUGAUGAGAAACACCAGCUCUAUCUACGUACUACUGUAUAGUUAGACCCUGUUUAGUUCCCCACCUAAAAAUUUUCCAUCUAUCUCAUCGAAUCUUUAGACACAUGUAUGGAACAUUAAAUAUAAAUAAAAAAUAAACUAAUUACACAGUUUGGUUGAAAAUCACGAGACGAAUCUUUUAAGCCUAGUUAGUCUAUGAUUAGUCUUAACUCUUAAGUGCUACAGUAACCCACAUAUGCUAAUAACAGAUUAAUUAUGCUUAAUGGAUUUGUCUUCUAGUUUCCGGACAAACUAUGUAAUUUAUUUUUUAUUAGUUUUUAAAAACCCUCCUGAUAUCUUUGUGACAUAUCCGAUGUGACAGCCAAAAAAUUUUUAUCUCCAAUCUAAACGAGCUAGACUCUUGAUAAUAGUAGUUUGGUAACCUAGCUAGGCAACGAUAUAUAUGCUUUGAUAUAUGGAGUAUACUCUAAUAUGGAGACACACACAUUUCUGCAUUGGAGCAUUACUCCUACGUGUGUGUUUGGGUCUAGCUAGCAAAUCUAAACCAUGUUAUCCCAAGCCUGCCCCUAGCAAGCCAAGACAUGUUUGCUUGGUUGCAUGCACUGCUGAGCUAGGCUAGGAUAAGUUGUUGUUUGGUUGGUUGACUUGGUGAAGAAAUAUCAACCUGGUAUUUCUAUUUGGGCUUGGCUCUGGUUGUACGGAUGGCCAGAUAGAGCCUGACUCCAGGAGCUGGCCAGACAACUAAACAACCAAAACUUGAUCCAUCCAAGCAAAAAGUUAGAUUUGGAGGACAACCAAACACACCUAUAUAUAUCUUAAAGUAGUUUCGUAUUGAGAUGCGUAUUUGCAUAUUUCUUGAAACGAAUUCAAUGAGUGAGAGAGCCAGGGAAUAAACUUUACCACGAGAUGCAUGCAUGUAUAGGAGAGAGGACAUGCACACAAUGCAAUGCAAGGCAAGGAACUAGCUAAUUGAUGCAUGUGCAUAUCAUCCGGGGUCCGGCCGGGCAUGAUGAGUAGUAGCGUGGUGGAGGCUACCGGUCAACCACGCUGCACGGCCACACAGGAGUAUUAUUAUUGUAUACUAUGUGAAGCUAUUCCAACGACGCAUAUGCAUGCAUCAUGCAUGUCCUAUAGUGGACUCUAGUUUGUUGUAUUCCAGUCCAGUCAGUCUCGGCAUUAUAUUCAAUCAGACUGCUAAGUGUGCAGGUAACAAUACAUAAUACAUAUAUAUAUAUUCAAACAUGACUAUCCAUCCGUCGAUCAACUUUGCUUAAUUUAUUAGUCUACUACUAGGCAUGAGUUAGCUAAUGCUCCCCCCAUUUCAAAUUUAAAAUCAUUUUGUCUUUUUCUAAAAUCAUAGUUUUUACUAUGUAUAUAUAUAUAUAUCUAUAUAUAUAUAUAUAUAUAUAUAUAUAUAUAUAUAUAUAUAUAUAUAUAUAUAUAUAUAUAUAUAUAUAUAUAUAUAUAUAUAUAUAUAUAUAUAUAUAUAUAUCUAGGUAUAGUGUUAUUAAGUACAUAUAUGUAAAAAUGCUAUAUAUGAUGUACCUAUAAUAGCCAAAACGACUUACAAUCUAGAACAGAGAAAAUAUGUACUUUUUCAACUGUGUUGAAUUUACUUGUCACCAUGUUUUAAAUGCAUAUCAUGUUUGGCCGUGCUUCCUUUUUCUACAUAAAAAUUUAGAUACUUAAAAUAUUCAAAUUAUAUGAUUCACUGCUAAUACUAGAUAUAUUAUUUUGAAGUAUGUAAAAUAUAAUUGUUUAAGAAAAAUAGUCAUAGUUGCAUUGCUAGGGCAGUUAAUUAAAUUAUUGGUGACAAGUAAACCCAAAAGAAGGGAAGUAAUAAGUAGCAUUAUAUAUAUAUAUAUUAUAUUUUUCUCUAAACCUAAAUAUAAGUCCACAUGUUUUUUUAAGUUUUGGCAAUUAGUGGCUCCCGUGGCUAUCGACAACAUGAUGAUGUAUAUAUUAGUGUUUUGGAACAUACUUUCAUGGAGGUAUAAUAUAUACCCUUUCUAUUUAUAAGCAACACAUAUUUAAAGAAAUCAUUUCUCAAAGUGUAGUAUUGAAGAUUGUGUCGGUCUAUAUUCAUAUAUAGAAUGUAUUCUUAGAGCACUCACAAUGUAAGACUUUAUCACAGAGUCCAAGACAAUCAAUUACAUAUUAUUUAUGAUAUUUUACUGAUGUGGCGGCAUAUUUAUUGAAGAAAGAGGUAGAAAAAAUAAGACUCCAAGUCUUAUUUAGACUCUAAGUCCACAUUGUUCGAGGUAAUAAAUAACUUUAGACUCUAUGAUAGAGUCUGCAUUGUGAGUGCCCUUAUACUGUAUAACUUUAUAUUAAAAGAAUUAUUUUCUUAUUUGAUAUUGUUAGUCAAAGUGUAACAUUAAAGACCAUAUUGAUGUCUUAAUUAAGGAAACUCCUGGUAUUAAACGUGAUGUUGUAUCCAAGAAUUUCAUAAAAAUUGUAUAAAUCUUUUUUUUUUAUAGAAAUCGGUUCAACUCCGUAAGGAAAAAAACGCAGGACUAAAGGCAUUCCAAAUAUUAUAGUCUUACACUGUGCAUGAUACUACUAUAUUUGCGAUUAGUGAGAGUAGUUUAGUUUAGUUUAGGACGGGGUUGGGAUUGAGAGGACCAAGAGCACAAGGCAAAGGCAAACAAUAACAUAAGGCAACACGUACAACAUGCUACUUUAUUGCAUUGGUACGGUUUCCCCAAUCAAUGCAAAUCCUAGUAACAUAAUCACCCUCUCGUUGUCCUAAACCCCACGAGCGCCUAGACAAUAAGUAGGGUAUUAACAUACUAUAUGCUGUCCAUCAUACUGCAUGUAGAAGAAACUUGUACAACAAUGAGGUAAUUAGUAUAGGAGGAGGCAUGAUUGCUGGGUUGGUUGGGUUGACGGUUCUUGGGGAUGGGGAGCCCGGGUGAGAGGAGAGGCUGUCGUCUGUGCUGCCUCAAAAGGCGGUUUACGUUGUAGCGGCCAGAGAGAUUUGUACGGGUACAAGGAAACCCAUCAUUCCGGUUGCUGCCUCAAACUGAUGCCCAUUUCCAGGCCAUCCAUCCAUCCUUGGAAUUGCCAUGGGGACUUGGAUUCCGGCCCUGAAUAUACUCUCCCCCUAGAGACCAGGCAUGUGGCCUCACUCCGCAAAGACAAAUCUCUCGUACUCCCUGCCCUCCUUUGAAACCCUGUCCUCAUCCUUCUCCCCCUCUCUCCGGGUGCGACAUUCUUGCUGAACAUCUCCAACAGUUUUGUAAAUGACUUGUAAUCUAUAAUUUUUUUUAGCAAAGUAAAGAAAAAUCCUCUCCAAUAGUUUGACAUAUCAAUUCCUCAUCUUUUCUAACUUGGUAUAUCUCCCUGUCUAACGCACAAAUAUGCGCGCGGGCUCCGUAUUUGGCAUCGGUCUUUCUUCUUAUACUUAGCGAGUCUCUUUGUUUCGUUAGCAAACAGUACUAUUUUGUGGUGUGUGCAUGCAUGUACAAGUGUAUAUUCGAUGGUGUGACCGUCACUCUUUUUUUUUCUUAUAACGAAUAAGUUUUAUAUUUAUAACAACGAAGUUGUAAUUAACAAUGAGCCCAUGUACACUGUCAUAUACGUACGGAGGCCAUGGCCAUGGUACAGGCUCCAGCUAAAGCCAACAUGGGCGGGCAGACAGCGGAGAGGCAGCACAGCUCAGAGACCAUACGUAUAUGCAGGGUUGCAGGGCGCAGCCGUGAAUUGCAGGCCGUCCUACUGCUACUGCUCAUCUCUGAUACGAUACGCAUGGUCGUCUCAGCAAUUCCUAGUAGCAUAUUGCAGCCUUGCAGGUAGUUGCAGCCAGCCCGAGCCGAGUAGACUAGACCUGAGUGGGUUUUCCGAUGCCGGACGGCUGCUCUGCUCCUUCAUCCUGCAUGCCAUCACUUGUUCUUGACUGGGAGCAAGCAAAUAGUGACAUGGAAGCCAUGGAUUGAAGAAUAGAAAGCCAAGCCAGACUGUGAGAGUGAGAGUGAGUGAGAGACUGCUCCAGCAGCAGCAUCCAAAUCAUCGUUCCCCCUGUGCAACAGACACCCCAUCAUUACCAUAGUCCCUCCCUCCCUCCCCUGCAUUGCUCUCAGCACCCCAGCUCUGCCACUGCUAUACUACCUCCUCCCUCUUCUUCAUCUCGUGUGCCUGCCUAUAAAACCCAACCCAUCGCACAGACAAGGCCAGCUCAAAGCACGCACCACCAGUGUCCUCCUGUCCACACUCCAUCAUCUGUCCAUGCACCGCCACCACCAUUGAGCAGAGCACACCAACGCCCACCCACCCAGCAACAGCAACAGCAUGAACGCCUUCUACUCUUCCAUGGCGCACGGUCUGGACGCGCUGCACCGCAGCCCACACGCGUGCCUCUCCGCAGCCUUCCUCCAGCAAGCCGCGGCGCUGCUGCGUUCCCUGCACUCGCAGCUCCUCCACCUGGUGCAGCGCCUCCACCUGCCUCCCGGCGAGAGCUGGCUCGACGAGUACAUGGACGAGACCUCCCGCCUGUGGGAAGCCUGCCAGCUCGCGCGCGCGGGCGCCGCGGGGCUCGACGCCUACUGCGCCGCCGCCGCACGCGUCGCCCCCGCACUCCGCGACUGGCUCUAUGGCGGCUCUGGCUCCGGCGGCUCACACUCCCAUGCCACCGCCGCCGUGCGACACCUCCAGCGCGCCAUCACAGCGCCCAGGCGCCACGCCGUCGCGCUCCACCAGGACAACCGUGCGCUCGCUGACGCCAGGCUUGACCCGGCCUCGCUUUUGCUUGACGACCGCUCCCCGCUCGAGUUCAAGCUCAAUGCCUUCAACGGCUUCCGUGGCGUCCUCUACGCGCUGCGCAACGCCACCUCUUUCCUCCUCGUCCUCCUCAUCUCCGGCACCGUCACCUGCCUCCCCGACCUCACCGCCGGCUGCUCUGCUGUCGCCCACCACCACCAGCAGCUCCGCGCCUCGGGGGGUGGCUACGUCGCCUCUGUCGCACGCCUGCGACAGCGCGUUGCACAGGAGAUGGAAGGAUGCAUCAUCGGCGGCGGCGGCGGCGGCGGUGGGAUCAUGAUGUACGAGUUCCGCCAGGCCAGGGCUGCCAUUGACGGCCUCAAGCAGGACUUCGACAGGGUCGUCGCCAUGGGCGGUGGCUACUGUGACGACAUCGGAGACAGCCUUGGUCAGAGAGCGGAGAUCAUCAAUGGCUGGGUUGGGAUGCUGCGAUCAGGCGCUGAGGCUGUCAUCGCUGAGCUCGAUGACUUCUUCGAUGAGAUCGUCGAGGGCAGGAAGAUGCUCUCCGACCUCUGCAGCCAUCGCUAGCUUAGCUCCUCCCGUCCCUAGCUCAUCAGCUGAAACAAAAUUAAACUUCACAAUCAAUCACAAGAUGAGUUGUUCAUCAGAGAAACGGUUUCAGCAGGCAGUUCCACUUCUUCUAUUCUAUGCCACCACCCUAGUAGAUACUCCAACAAGAGGCUAACAAAUCUAGGCAACCCAAGAAAAAGGUGCUUUUUGUUUGUCUGUUUAAUUUGUUUUCCUCUCCUCUCCUUCUCUGGUUAAGUGCAGUGCAGUGCUGUUUACUCUCUAGCUAGUAGGGUGUCCAUACUUAAGUCAUGCAUGUAGCAGCAGAAUCAUCAUCCUCUUUGUAUGCUUCCAAAUCAACGGCGGUAUGGCCACUUCCUAUUGUGUCUGCCUAUUGUCAGAAUCAGAACCAGAACAUAUCUCUAGCAUUCUUUUUAACAUAAUAUAUGCUUUGGAUUUAGACGGCCUUAUAUAAGAUAAUAAUAUAAGAGCUGAUGCCGAAAAGGAGAAUCCGCAAGUGCCACCAAUCAGACCUCGGAAAAAGGAAAACCAACUCUUUGCUCUUUUCUAUAACUGGAAAAGCACUGUGGUGGUGUGGCCAACUUGUUGGACAUAUAUAGGAGACAAAAAGGAACAAGAUGGACUUUUCUGUUCUUAUUCUUUUUUGCUUGUCCGUUUUGUUUUUGGUGGUAGGCUUAUGCUUUCGUUGUCAUUGAACCAUAUCGUCGCUUCCCACCAGCUCAAGAAUAUGGUGAAUGGUACAGAAAAGACCAGUUAUUUUUAAUAAAACAGAGAAGAUGAACAAACGACCUAAGGGAGGGAUGGUUGUCAUUUUAAUAGAACAGAGAAGAUGAACAAACGAUCUAAGGGAGGGACGGUACCUUUAUGACCGCUUUUGUAAGAUUCUUUUCUUGUGAUGCUUCUCUUUGAUAUCUGACCCCAGUCACCAUUUGGUCUUUAUAAUGACGAGGAACAGCCUUCUGGAAUUGGAACAGAAUGAUCACUUUGUGAACGUCUUUUGAGCCAGAAUCAUCCUCUGGACCUCAAUCAGAUGAAGAGAACCACUGCCAGCAAAGGUUGCAAUGCCAAAUUGAUUGAGCUGCCUUGCAGGGCCAAAAGCAAGCGAUAUCAUGGUAAGCAGCAGGGCAAUCCAUAUUCCAUACUUUGGGUUAGGGCUCUGCCUCUGGUGGGAAAAGCUGAGCUUCAUCAGCCCACCAAAUCCAAUCUCUUCCUCAAACAGACACAAUGAUCACCUCUUAAAGCAGCAAUCAGAAUUGCUUGACCAAAUUAUAAGCUGCUCAUCAUGAAUUCACAUUGAACUGAAAAUCCAAUACGGAUUGAUUAGAAAAGGUCAGGUUACAUUAAGUCAACCUAAUGAGCCAACAGAAGAAAAGUUCUUGCUACCAAUUAUCUGGUCAGGUGAAAAUUAUAAUACAAACUCUAACUAGAUCAUUAUCCUCAAUACUAAUGUGUCUUUUGGCUCAAAAAAGGGAAAGUAGCAUAUAAUUAAGUACCGGAGCGAUCAAUGAAGUCUGUACUCAGUUGUCAAAAUUUUACCUUAUCAAUGGUCCAGGCAUACCAAGCACUGUAUAGCAAUAAAUUAACACAUAGAACAACUGCAAACAGUAGGGACAUCAUCAUGAUGCAUAACCUCAUCUACAAGGAAGAUAUCUGAAAAAUAAAAAAAGUCAUAAAUGCAUAUAAGAAUGGUUUCGGGGCACAGAUGCGUAUUGCAAUUAUAUUCCAGAAAAGAAUUCAUACAGAAAAAAAAACUGAGUAACUUGAUCUCACCCAAUCUAAGUAACAAUUGAACUCUGUUUAUCAAAGAAAAUAGCCUGCAAUAUGUACCAGGAGAUCUGAGAAGUCUGUACACUGUGCAGAACCAAAAAGAAGUGAAAGGGGGCAUACCGAAACUGGACAGUAUCCAUCAAACACAAAAUCUGCAUUGUGCUGUGUGGAAUAAGAUCAGGCGGCAGGCAUUUAAACCGCGCCCACCGCUUUCAGACACCAGCAGGUCCACUGGGGAUACACAAACAACAUAAUACUCAAAUUGACCUAAUUUCUAUACAGGUAGGAAAUGUCUAUCUUGGACAGUAAGUCAUAAGUGAAGAAUUCAGUCACACAAGUGGUAUGUCCAAAAAAUGAUCAUAUGAAUUCUUAAUUUCACUAUAAUAAUUGUGAAAUUAACAAUGAACAUUUGUAUAGGUACACGUCCUGUGGACCUCACUUGCCCAACAAUUUGCCUAAAAACCGCAAACUUUUGGAUAGAUCAACAGUGAGGUCCUCAUAUGUACACCAUUUUACAAAGUGAAAAGUAGCCAAACAACAAUGGGAUAGGCUUCAACAAAACUGCCAGGAAGUCCUGCACAUGAUUAGGCACACCCUUCUGUUGGGUGCUGAAGCAGGUUAUUGCCAUUCUGGAGUUCCACUGACUUGUGAUUGCUCUGACCAAGGGAUUUGCAUGGCUUAGAUGAAUUAUCAGGACUCCAUGUGUCUGGAACAGACAGGAAGUACUUCGCCAUGAACUUCCUAAACCUUUUUUUGUAUUCCUUGGGGGAAAUUACAGUUGGUGAAACAUUCUUGGGUACUACCAGAGAAGUCUUCACCCAUGUCUCCAGUUGUUUGUCCCAAGUAUAUUGCCUCAGAUAGUCAAUGAUGCCAAACACAAGUUCAUGCUUCUCUUUGUCCACUCCCACAAGUAGAGAAUAGUCCAUGACAUUCGCAGACUGCAAGUACAAUCAUUAUGUUCAUAAAUGUUAUCAUUGAAAAACAUAACUGCCAGUAGUUGUGGAAAAGAUGUGCUUUAUACUUACAGUGAGGAAAGCUGUGUCAUUCCAGAUUGCACGCUGCAAAAGAUGUUUUGUUCUUCCACCAAUAUAGAUUGGGGAAAAACCCAUGUCCUCAACAUAAUUUUGGUCCAGGUAAACAGUAUCAUGAUCAUUUGAGUCAGUGACACGCCGCGAAAAAGUAGCACCUUUGAGGUCAUAAAUUCGUGAAAUAUUGUGGCCAAAGAGAAGAUUUUCCAUCACCAUCAAGUCAAUCUUUACCUCUUUGCCAUGCCUAAUUUGCUUAACCUGAAACAGCCAAGUGAGUCCACAUGAAAAAAAAGCAGGAAAAUGAAUCGAAAUUAAGCUUGACCUCUUGAUAUAACUACCUGAUAGAUUCCUAAUAUCUUGGCAAGGCAAGUUUGGCUUCCAGUGUCCAGAGAAUGGUAAACAUGCUUAAAGUAAUCAGGGGCAAAUUUAAUAAAUGACUCGAACUCUGUUUUCUUGAUUUGCUUUAUGAUGAACCUGUCAUCCAUCGUCUUUGCAAAAUAGGCCUUGCUCUUUCCACCUUGAGCAUUCCACUUCUUGCAACGGCUUAAGGAAGUAAUAUACUCAAGCUCGGAUGGGCAACACUUUUUCCGAAGCGCAAAGAAUUGAUUGUCAUAUACAACAGUUACUGAAUAUUUGCCUUUGAGAGUCACUUUCCCGUUCACAGUCAUUUCUGGAUGCAUCGGGGACAAUAAAGAUGAGCUAUCAUAACCAGAAAAGUCAUCAGAUGAAAAUGAAGACAGAGAUGACAAGCUUGCUUCAGAAUCUGUAGAUGACCAUGGGGAUGAGCUGAAAGAACUUUCAGACAGAAAACUAUAAGAUUUCUCCAUUGCUUUAACAUGCUCUCCCUUGGAAUAAUCCAUUCCAUUCUCAAAUUUUAAAUCUAUCAAAUGGUGGCGUUCAUCAGAUAUGGCAAGAGCACGAGCUAUUAUGCUGGAUAUCUCAUCUUCCAUUAUGCACAAAAUAUUACUACCUGGACCUACUGCAAACUGCGGAGAGUAUGCCUCAUCAUGUUGUUCAAACAAGGGAGGAAGAUAAUGUGGCAAAUAAUUGUUAAUGAGUUCAAAUUUUUCCAAAUAUCCAAUUUGAAUGUCAUUCCUGUAAGCCAAUUGAGACUCAGAAAUUGAAUUCCAAAUCCACCUUUCCCUUUCAUCCCAAUACGGAUAUUUAAACUGUUGGGGAGUGCUACAAGGCUCCUGUUUCAUGGGUAUUGGAUCUGCUACUGUAUCAUUGACCUGGACCUCCUUAUCAUUGGAUAUUUCGAAACAAGGAUCAUUUGCAGUUUCUAUUGUGCCAUCAACCUUUAUUUGACCAUGAGCAAUGGAAGAAUCUUCAGCUUUACUACCUCCAUUGCAAGGAAGUUCCGAGUGCCCAGCUUCUUGGCUUUCAUCAAGCAAGGGUGCUGCAGCAUCACCUGAUUGAUGAUCAAGAUUAUUACUUGCAGACUCCGUGGUACUGGCUACCCCCAAAGCUAUCGUAGUUUUAUCACUGAUUUUCUUAUCAGUACCAGAGUUCUCGCCGCAGAUCCCAUCAACAGUAUCAGCAGGAUUCUUGUAAUUAGCAACACUUUCUAAUUGGACAGAUUUACAGUAGAAUAAUUGAUGUAGACGGCGAUCCCAAAUGUAAAGCUCAAGUAGAAGGUCCUGAUAGUACCAAUUUAUAUUCAAUAGUUCAUGCACAGACGAAGACGGUGUCCCAUUUUGAUCAGUGGCCUUGCCCACAGAACUCUGCAGGACAACACAGAUAUAAAAAUUCAAUCAACAAUAAAAAACAGAACAAAUACCGAGGACAAUAGAAUGCAUGUACCCACCUCAAACUGGGCCUUUUCUUUUAUCAGCAACUCUUCUAGUUCAGUGAAGUCCUUAACAGGGAGUGCGAGGCCACAAUUGAUUGCUAAUUUUAUUGCAUCAGGAUGUUCAUUCUUCAAGUUUUGUAGAAAUCUUGCAACCCCAGAGAAAAGCACCAUACCUUUAGCAUGAACCUUGAAAGAUGGAGCAUAAGCGUCAGGCACCAUUGUACAAUAAUGAAAAUAAGUAAUGAACACAAAACAGUCAAGAGAUGAACCAUACAUUUCUCCUUUGUCCUUCAAACCAAUCCUGUCUGAUGGGGUUGACGAACUGGAGAGUAGGUUGUGGUUUGCAGGUGGUGUAAAUUUCAACCGAAGAGUACCGGAACAUAGCAACUUUAGAGCCCAAGCUGAAAUUAGUAACAAAGAGGAAAUAUUCAUCACCAAACUGCAAAAAAGGUAGUUUCCAUGGAAUUGUUAUAUGAAACUAUGAAAGCCUAAUGCAGAAGGAAGUUUACCCAAAAAAGCGCAAGCAAUCCCUGUUGACCAAAUGUCCACAUAUGGAUAACCUUCUUGCUGCAGAGUGGCUAGAAAAACUGAGUUCCAGGAAUUUCCCAAAUGAGAGGUUGCGUGCUUCAGCUGAUAUUAGUACUCUUGGAGUUGGUUUGGAUAACCCAUGUUCGUGAUCACAUCUUGAGCACCUAGUCCACAUCCAUAUUUUUCCUUCAGAUUCACCAGGCAAAUGGUGUUGGGGCACCAGACGUUUCACUAAAACGGUCAAAUUUCCAUUUCGGUGCGUGUAGGAGUACAUGUGGGACUCUGGAGGCUCUCCACAUGAGGAGCAACUCAGUUUCUGCAAGGGAAACAUUAAAAGCUGAGCCUUCAGCAACCGAGUCAAAUUGUAUUAUACAAACACAAAACACGGAUAUUUCACAUGACAACAAAACACUAAAAGGUUAUGAAAUAGUGUCACCUGAUUCUGCAGAAUGUCUUGCAAAUAUCGCCCCAAGGACACAUCAAAACUCCCAUAGUAUUUUAUACGGGUUAAAUGGCUUUGUUCACAGAUAACCUGCUUUUCCGUGCACUGGCUAGACAUCAAAAUCAGUAUGCUGUGAGAAUCAAGUGCAUCAUCAGCUUGAUCGUCGUCGACAUAUUUCUCUUUGAUAACGAUACUUGUUGUAUGUGCCUCAUUGUCUUCCAUAACAGGUGAUUCUCCACUUUUAUCACUUACAGAAGAACUUCCCGGCAUUAUUGCUCUAGUAAUUUCUUGUUUCUGGGCAUCAUUUAUGGACUCCCCAUUUUCAAUGGAAACCACAGGCUCUUCUAUCUUUGGCCUAUGGAAACCAUUACUAACAGUCUCUUGACCGGAUUCAGCCCUGACUUCCUUCCUAUUAUCAUUUGCCUCUUGCAAUGAUGUAACAGGUAAGUAAAUAUUCUGGUGACUUAACAUGUCAGCAAACAAUUUCCUUAGUGGCCCUUGGACUGGUAAUGUUAACCUCUCAGUAUUAUUGAGCCUGAUACUUGCACCUUGUUCAAGGUCAUUUGCAGAGCUGCUGGAUACUGAACUGAAUGAAUCCAUAUUUCUUGGAGAUGUAGGUUUGUUCACAUCAGCAUAGCUAUUAGAAGUGGCAUGGAACAGUCUAAGUGCUGGAGAGUCAUCAUGUGAAGGAAAGCUAGGGAUAGCACCACUAAGAGCAGCAACAUCAUAAGCAGUUGGUGAUGUCCCUUCUGUAGCAGUAACAGAAGUUUCUUUCGGGGUACUUUUAUCAUUUAGAAAAACCCUUUGAUCUUCAAAGAAAGAUGUUUCAAGGAUCAAGUGAUAUGCUGCAAAGACCGUAAAAUGCAUUACUUGUUUGACUUUCUUCAAUUCUUCACUGUUUGCUCCUUUUAGCAGUAUCUGAAAAAGAAAAAAACCACUCUAACUGUAAAUAUUAAUCCAAAAGGUAUGGAAUACCAAUCAGUUUUGGGACUUGCUACUUAUUCAAUGAAAUGGUAUUAGUGCGCAUGAAAUAGACUAUAUCCAGCAUACAAUGAGCAUGAACUAUACAUACCGUGCAACCAAGUGGACGUGGAAAGCCUUCCAAGAACAUUAAUGUUUUAGAUGGCCUCUUUCCACCCUCACUGGCGUUGUUGUGCUCCUCGAUAAAUUUUUCGAUAUGAAAGUAGUCACAUUGCUUCAGCUUCGGUUUAUCCAAAACUUCGGAAAACGAUAUUAUGGGAGAGCCUGUACAGCGUGCAAUUCUCUCUAGCCGGUUGAGUUUCAUAUCAAGAAUUAGAGUGACACCUUCUUUCAGAAGAAGUUCUUGAAUGUUUCGUGAAACAGUUUUCUCGACCAGAACAACAUUGGGACUGCAUAUCUCCAUCAUUUUACCAAUAGCUCUCUCCAACAGGUCCUUUUCCUGAUUGUUAGAGGCAUACAAAAUAGACGGUAUUAAUACUUCUGUGGAAAAAAAAAAGAAGUCGAGGUUUAUUAUUUGCGUACAUAUAUAAAUAUGUAGCAUCUAACCUGAUCCAUUGAACUAAAUGAUGACAAACCGACAUCAGAAUGCCCAAGGACUCCUUUGAGAAGUAGAAGCCUAGGAUUGUGGCAAUUUGUUGGCAUGUGCUUAUGAGCAGUGUUCUUCUUGAAGACUAACCCCUUGAUCACCUCACUGCAACCAAACCAACAUUACCACAUAUUAACGGAUGUAGUUUAAAGCAGAAAUAGAAAUACUAUCUAUUAAGGAGAAACAGUUGAAGGUAAAUUAUUGCUGCACCUUUGCCGGCGAGUACCAGAUGCUACACAUUUGACUUUGAUGUAAGAGCCAGGGUCCAUUUCCUUUCCCAUGCUACCAUCUGGUUUGAUAAGUAGUGCGGCUUCCCAUGACAGGGAGGUGACAAUUUCAAGCCAGCUAUCGCUACCCUCUUCGUUCGAAGAAGGAAUGCCAGCAGAUGCGAGAAACCGACUGACAAGUAUCUUCAGCUGGCCAUUCAUAGCUUCUAGCAUCGCCUUUUCUCGUUCCUCCCUAUGAUUGCUAGUGCCGGUGUCAUGCUGCUUACCAGGGGAUGGGAAACUUGACUGGCCCCACUUUAUCCCGUCACUAUAAUCGUCGUCGUCGUCAUCAUAAGCGAUGCUUGUAGCAAAACUCUGGGCCUCAUCCUCCUUAUCUGCCGCUUGAGGUGGUAUCCAGAUGGUAUCAUUUUCUAGAAAUGAGAUCUCUGUAUUACUGCUUCUGCCAUUGGUACUCUCAGCCCCAUCAGAAUCGUCACCGGACUUGAUAGAACGGUCAUCAACAGAAGACGUGGAUGCAUGGCGGCUAAUGCGACCAUGUCUGUGGCCUGAAGCGCUGGAGGGAGCAUUGUCGUCUGUGGAGAGAUGAUUUAUAUGCUUAUUAUCGGCAUCCGCAGCCUGACUCUGCUCCGCACCAUGGGGACUGUGAUGGUCUUUUUUGAAACAAUGACUGCGAUGGUAACCAUUAGCCUCUGGUGCAUCCUCCCUGUUCGUGUCAGGCAAAAGGAAAAGGAUGAGGAUGGGGGCUCCAUACAUGUCUAUGCGCUUCACACUGGAUUGUCAAUCAGAAACUAAAGCUGUACAGGUUUAGCUAGCUGUUGGCAGGCAAAGAAACAAAUGAACCCUAUUCAGUGUUAUCAACACAUAUAGUGUCCGUCGGCGAAUAAUUGACUUAGAUUCAAGCUAUGCAACACGGGUUUAGUUUCCAGGAAAAGGGGCUUUUGCUUAAGAGAAACAGAUGACGUAUAUAUAUAAUAACAUAACAUGUUGAUGGUAUAUAUAGAAACAAAAAAAAAAAGGCUAAGGUAGGGGAGAGUAUGUAUUCUGCAAGAGGUCCAGUAAUAUGAAUGAAUGAUACACCUGAACCUGAUUGAGGAGGGGAGGAAAGUUAAACAUGGAAGCAAGCUACAUAUACAAUUAAAGUAAAUUUGUUAACCUGAUGAACUGGUUGCAACCUGAGCCAAUCCAGAGGAGGAGGAGGCUGAGGAUUGAUUAAGCUUAACAUAAGAGAAGAGAAGAGAAUCGAAAUACUACCUGGUUGUGUGGUGGUCGUGCUGAUCCGACAUGUCGGAGCACAUUGCCUGCGGCAAAGGCAGGCGGCAGCUUGUCACAUGCCCUUACGGUUGGUCUGGAAUUGGUGGGUUAUGUAUGGUGUCAAUCAAUUGAUCAAUCAAAAAGGGGAAAAAAAAACGAAGUUAGUAGUAGUAGUAGGCAUAGAAUUCACUUGUAAAUUACUACAAGUACUAGAUCAGAUCCGAGUACAUAGAGGAAAGGAAGGGAAGAGAAGGGGUGCGCAGGCAAGGCAUACCUGGUGGGGUGCUCGUCGCCGGCGAAGGACCUCCUAGCUAGACCUGGGCACCUCCUGGCGUAGCGAGGGCGGCGGUGGGCCGGUUGCGCUUGCUCACACGGGGUGCAGGGUAGUUGAAAUCCAAUCGGAACCGAGUGGAUUGGAUGAGGAGCGAGGAGGGGGCGGCCGCGCGCGCACCGCCGAGCGAGCGAUGCUGGAAUCGGAAUCCCAAUGAUACGGGGAUGCCUGCAAGCAACUGGGGUGAUGGAUCUCUCUGCUCCUCCGUCCCGUACACCGAGAUGCCAAGUCGGUGGUGGAGGGACGCGGCAACGUCUACUAGUGGUCGGUCGUCGGUGUCGGGCGGGGCGCUAGAGUCCCGUUGCUCGACGGCGCUGGAAUCCUCAAUCUCCCCGGUAGCUUGCGCGGGGGCUCUGGCCGCGGCGAUUGGACAAGCUAGCAGAAGCACGCACGCACACCAGAAGAGGAGAGGAGAGGAGAGGAGAGGAGAGGGGGGAGUCCAAGGCAACAAAGCCAAGCCAAGUCGUCUAGUAGUCUCGAAACGAGAAGAAGAAAGAGGAAGGAGGAGGCCAAGGCGAGCAAGGAAGACGACGGCAGGUGAGGAACGCUCUCAGGCCUCUUGGUCGCCGCUGGAGACCCCACCUGCCUCCGGUGCCGUGGGGCCCGCGCACAACUAUCUUCUCUUUUCCUUUUUUGCAAUUAAUUAACACGAUACUGUACGUGCAACUUAUAGGAGUAAUAACUAUAACUAUUGUAUUAUUAAUUACUCCCUUAUAUCGUCUUCUUUUUAUAUAAUACGAUAAUUAGUACUGUAUAUGUAGUAAAUUGCUGACAGACAAAAUAAGGCAUCCAAAAAUCUUUUAGAUUUAGCUACGAUAGAACUUUCGUUUAUAUUUGUUAAUUAUUAUCUAGCUACAGACUAACUAAGUUUAAAAGAUUCGUAUUACAAAUUAUAGAUAAAUUAUAUAAUUAAUUAUUUUUUUAUCUAUAUUUAAUAUUUUAUAUGUGUCAUAAGAUUUAAUAUAACAAAAAAGUUUAAGUUUAUUAAAAAUUUUAGAUGAAACUAAACAAGAGUCAAAAUAAAAAUAAUUAAAAUUAGUAAGCGACGGGCGCCGACACGGCGACACGGUCAGGUCAUCAAGGGGCAGGGCUCGAGAUGGCGUCUGUGUCCGGAGACCACCAUAGGCUGCGGGCUGCCCCCUUUGCUUGUGUGCGUGCUUUUUAUUAUAGGCGUAUUUUUCUUUUAUAAUAAAUUAGUAAAUAAUUUUUUUAGUCAUAGUUUUUUAGAUUAAUUAAGGUUUAUUUAGUUCCUAAAAACUUUUAAGAUUCAACAUCACAUUAAAUCUUAGACAUAUACAUGACAUAUUAAAUAUAGAUAAAAAGUAACUAAUUAAACAGUUUAUUUAUAGUUUACGAGAUGAGUUUUUUAAGUCUAGUUAGUCCAUGGUUGAAUAAUAAUUAUCAAUACAAAUAAAAGUAUUACACUAGCUAAAUCUAAAAAUUUGCGUUUGAUUGCGUCUGUUAAAUUUUACUGUCCGUCACAUUAAAUAUUUGGACACAUGCAUAGAGUACUAAAUAUAGAUUAUUUACGAAACUAAAAACACAACUAGAGAGUAAUUUGUGAGACGAAUCUUUUGAACCUAAUUGAUACUAAUUAUUUAAUAAAAUUAAAAUGCUACAAUACCUGUUAACAAAAUAAUCUAAAUCUCAAAAACCUUUUUUCAUAGCUUUCUUACCAACUCAAUUGAAUAACACAUGUGACAAAAUUCUGGGCGCUCUCAUUUUAAAUUUACUCGUGACGAACCUUUAGUCUCAGGUGCUUUCGUCCAGCUUGGUGAUACCAACUAGGACUAAAAGGUCACCCUUUACUCUGGGUUGGUGUUACCAACCAGGACUAAAAGGUCAAAGCUAAUAUAUACCCUUUAGUCCAAGUUGGUAGGACAUUAGUCCCAGGCCCAAUUCUAACCGAGACUAAUAUGUUGAACCGGAAGUCAUUUCUGUGCUAGUGCGCCUUAACUCCACGAGAGGGUUGGUGGCAUUUCCUUUGUCACCGAACUGGUUUUGUAAUUGAGAAGCGAUUCUAUGUUUUUGCAAGGUGAUCCGAGGGUUGGAAGCUAAAAACAAUAGCCCAAUUCACUUUACACAUUGUGUCAUCGUCUAUCUUAGAGAACUAACUGGUUAGACAAGUACUUUUACCGGAGAAUCUGAAGCAUGAGUAGCUCUACGUACCAAACAAGCAUCUAGUCUUACAGGGUUAUGCUCAAGCUCUGAUAAUCUACAGAGAGGCCGCACACAACACUUUAGGCCCCAUUCGUUUUUACAGGAAUUCCCAAUUGUAGAUUUCGUUCACAAAUUUGUAUUGACCCAGAACUAUUCCGCUCUAUUCUCGGCCUGUUCCGACGUAAACAAACAUGGCCUUAGGAAGAAGUGUCGUUUCUAAUGAAUACUGAAGGAGCCAAAACAAUUUGUAAAACCAGGAGGAGAAGCUUGCUACAUUUGAGGAGGUGUCAUGCCAAAUAAAACCCUUAUUCUUGUUGCCUAUGCUGCUCUCUAGACGGAUGGAUACCACCAUGGUCGUCGUCGUCUCUUCCAAUUUUUCAAAUAUAAAUUUAAUGCUGUCAGAGGAAACUACUCAAUGACCCAUUCAUCUUUCCCCCUUUUCAAAUAUAAAUCUAGUGUCGUCAAAGAAAUCUAUUCAAUUCAACGACCUAUGCUGUCAAUAAAAAAUGUUGUCUUACGUGUCGUUGUUGCUUUAUUCAGUUUUCCUACCUAUUACUAUGUCCUUGUAUUCUUUCUUUACAGUAAUACUGCUAUCAAAUAAAAGAAGAUCUAUGCCUACUGUACUUCGACUCCUAUUGUCUUGUCACGUCCUCCUUCGUCUCUCAUCGUACACACAUUCAAUAAACCAUAUUACGUAUAUAUUCAUACUUGUUUAUCGGUUUGAGUUUGUUCAUAUACUUAUACUAAGAUACUCUAGAUCUUACCGUGCGAAAAAUUUUCAAAGGAAUUUAUAUUUUUUUAAUAUAUUACUAAAAUGUCACUACUGUAGUAUAUAUAAUAAGUAUAAUCACAUACUCUAUAUAUGCAUGCAUACUUAACAUACAUACUACCUUAGAUGGUUUAGUAUGAUUAUAUACUUCGUCUACAUACACUUCAUCGGGCCAUAUACGCUCUAAAUCUAAAGAUAUACAUAUGGAAGUAACUACUACUGUGAGUAAAAAGGAAUUAUUCCUAUACACACAAAUAAAAAAAGUUGUAACUCUCAUUAGUUAGUUGCUUUGCGCCACCGACUAGCUAAUUAAUCCAUGGCGUUAAGUUUACAACGUCUCUCAAGAGACCACCAGCUCAGCAACAAAAUCAUAGAUGUGAUGAUGUGAUGUGUGCAUCUUCCAUUCCAUUCUCUAGCUUAUUGGAACCAAGCAAUCAACCAAUGCAACAAAUAACACACCACCGUACCACCAAGCAAACGGAACACAAUCAUGGAUCCCCCGGCACACAUCAAACCUUGUUUACUUCCAAUUUUUUUUUAAAAUAGUAAUAGUAGCACUUUCGUUUGUAUUUGAUAAAUAUUAUCCAAUUAUGAACUAACUAGGCUCAAAAGAUUCGUCUUGUCAAUUCCGACCAAACUGUGCAAUUACUUUUUAUUUUUAUCUAUAUUUAAUACUCCAUGCAUACGUCUAAAGAUUCGAUGUGACGGAGAAUCUGAAAAAUUUUGCAAAAUUUUUAGGGAACUAAACAAGGCCCAAAGAGAGGGAAAAAUACUAACACGUAGGUUGUACUCUUCAUUAAGCAAAGCAUGCAUAUUACCAAAUAUGACCAAUCUAACUUUAUCCACUUAAUUAUAAUAAGUCACACCCUGCUAACCCCCUACUAAUCAAAUCAUUCGUCCUAGCUAGCUAGAUACGGCAGGCAGCUAGCUAAGCCAUGCCCAUGCUGUGUGCUAUACUGCUAUAUAUCCUGAUGUUAUUUGCCUAUCAAUUGUCUACCCGUAUCAUCAAUCAUGCUUGUCUUGUUCUCCGUCAUCAUCCACCUGACUUCACCACACACAAUUAUCUGUGUAAUUAAAACCUAUGGAGGAAAUGGUGAGAAGUGUAUAUGAUAACCUUAUCCACCCCUACUGGUUUCUGGAUGUAUAAGCUGAAAGGAUCUAUCACCGCUGACAAUUCAGCAAACAUGAAUGAUUUGAUGUGCUAGUUCAUUAGUUGCUAGAACCAUGGAAGAGGUGCUAAUAGUUCAUAUACACGUUCAAUUAACUAUCCAACCACCUAUUAGUAGCAAAGUAUGUAACGGCAUGGUGGCCCAAGAGAAAAUGAAUUAGGCUCGUUUAAGCAACAAUCUUAGAUUUUAAACUGGAUAUGAAAUAGGGAUUUCCCAAUCCCAUCAGUUAUAUAACGUGUACUUUUUGGUUUAGACAAAGCCUUCAAGAGCAUAUUUAUUUUUUCCUAAAUUUAUUUUAGAAUAGUACAGUCUUCCUUUGCAGUGUACUAAAAUUUUACUCAAAAUAAACAUCGUUUGAGAAAAUGUUAAUCCAGCCAAUGCAUCUUUUAUAUGUUAGCCUCGCAGAUAAUAAGCAAACUAGUUAUUAUAUAUGAAAACAUGUUUAAAGUGCGACUUAUGAAAUUAAAAUAGACUGAUAAAGUGUAAACAAAAUUGCCACUUUCUCAUGUAUAUAUAUAGAGACAGAGAAACUCAAGAGAGGCGGCACACUAGAAUCCAAAAUUUGUCUAUGUAACCUACAUUCUUUUGGCGGUAACAAAAAAAACUUACAAAAACAACAAUUAACGUGUCGGUUUUCGGCCAAGAAGAAAAGCUAUGCAAGCACCAAGUGAUCGUCGAUGUGUUGCUUAUAAGCAAAGAUCAAAUGAUUCAAUCAUCGGCCAAUACCUCAAGUGCGGAUGGAGGCAAUUAAUUAGCCUAAACACUCACAUUGGAGAUUAGUUAGGUAUCAUUAGUUAUCAUCCAACCAAUUUGAUGAGCAAGAAUAUUCCUUGGAACAAUAUUUAGUAUGGUGCACGGUGGCAUACUAUAUAUGUAUGUUUUCUCAGCUUUAGAGAAAUGCAAAUGACAAAAAAAAACCAUGAUAUUUUUUCCUCUUUCUUUUUAUGGAAAAUUAAUGUAACCCUAUAGAUAGCUAGUUGAAGAAAAAGAAAUAUAAUCAAAGCUAGUUAAGAAUAGCUAGAAAACUUAAUUAGUACCCGAAGCAUGAGUGUACAGUAUGACAAAAAAAAUUUUGCCCCCUUCGUCUGAAAGAAAAAGUAAUUCUCGACUUUCUAUGAAUCAGUCAAUCACAGUUCUGAUAAAGUACAAAGAUUCGAUACUAUGCAUAACAAAUUAUUAGAUUAAUAAUCAUAAAAUAUACAUAACAAAUUAUUUAGAGGUACACACAUGUUGAUACUAUUUUUAUUUUAUAACUCUAAAAAAGAUUUGGCUUAAAAUUAAUACUUUGGAAACUAAGGGAAUUAGUGAAGACAGAGAGAAAAAAAAAAGUGUAUUAAACAGGGGCGGCGGAAACAGGAAUAUAUGGCAUGCAGCAGAUGAGCAUGGUUUGACGGAGACGAUUUCAAUUGUGUCGGCUGUGUGUGGUGCUUCUUCAUUUGUUGCGUUGGACUGGAGCAAUCUUCACGUCUCCUACAAAAGAUUCUUCUUCGUUGCCCAGAAACUUCUUCUUCUUCCCUGUUUGCUGCUCCCAGUCUUGUUUAUUUUUUUUAUUCUAAUCCUUUUUUAAUAGAUAAUGGGUUGCUAAUGUCUCAAGCAAGAACCAUCGAUGACCUCUCUGUAUAUAUAUGUUUUUUAAAUUUGCCGGUCAACUGCCUACGCGUAGUGUGUGUAUAGUAUAAAAUAUGGGAAUGUCCGAAGAUUUGAUGCACGCAUGUAGAGGGAGCGCUCUGUAUGCAAUACUUCACCUAUAUAAAAUACGUUUAAAAAUUCGAAGUAAAGAAUAACUUAAAUAUCACUCAUUUAUUUUUAAGUUGCACUUGAUAUGCACCGUUUGUUUUGGAUUCCAGUGAGAAUCGAAACCGAUCCGACCAUGCAAAUGUCGAUCCAAAUGGUACUCUCAGCUCGUACUCUUUUCUAGAUUGCUGUUCGUACUCGUAAUAAAUCAGCGUACCAAUUCGAGUCUAUUUGAAAAGUCAUGACUGAAAAUAUUGUUUGCUAAUUUAUCUAUGAAAAAAAACACUGUUAGCUAGAAAAAAAAGUACGGCUUAUAAGACAAGCGAACGGAAAAGAGUGAUGCAAACUGUCCGAUGCAAUUUUCCCUAUGAUUUGUUUAAUUAUUUGGUUGCUGACAUCAAUAAGCGCAGUACCCAUUUUAAUUUCCCCACACAUAUAUAACGACAUAUAUGAUUCCCUCCUUUGUAUAUAUUUUCUCAUAGUUUCAUUUUGUACGUGUCUAAAAACAUAUACUAUGAAUCCACGAUGGGUGAUAUAGAUAUUAAUUAAUAAAUAUCAGGAUAUAACACACGGUGCAAAACUAGUUUCAACUUCUAGUACAACCUAGUAGCUACGUCGUUUGAGCCGGCGAUGUUUGUUCUAGUGUUGCCUAGCGUCUCUAUGGUAUCUCAACAUUUGAGCACAAGGACUGUAUAAACUUUUUAACUUCUCUUAAUGAAGAACGAGCAAUGCACGAUUUCGAAAAAAAAAACAUGACACGGUAGAAAAGCAGCAGGUCCGGAUGGAGAAAGAGAAGAAGUACACUAAUACAAGUAAAGUUAGUCAUAAAUAAAUGAAAUGAAAUAAGCAAAAGCUACUCCUCGAUUUAUAGAAAUAUCAUUCUUAUUUUUUCUUAGGAGUUAAUUUUUCUCACCUCUAAUAAAAUAUAUAUUAAAAAUACUAAUAUGUAUAAUAAUGCUCAGAUAAGAUGAAUAUUAAUUAAAGGUGUUUUUAUAAUAGAUUUAGAUGGAGAUGCAAAUGUUGAUGCAAAUUUCUAUAAGAACUAGUUAAAUUUAAGAAAGUUCAACUCAUCAGUUAAUAAAACCACAGGUUCGUUAAUUAUGUAGUGGUGUAUACGUGGUAGACAGAUGGCGGCAAUAUGAACAUAUGAAAACGAAGUGUCCUGACUAGCAAGGCAAAGCAUGUAUAGUACAUAGUGAUUGAUCAGAUGAGAUGCGAUGAGAUGGCACGUUGUACAACCAUGCAGCAUGCAUGCAUCUCCGUCGAUGGAUCGCAGCUUGCUUGAGUUGGACUAGGCAUCCAUGCAUGAUCCUGAAAACGGACAAGCUCAUACUAGAUCCAAGACACACGUCAAUUAUUGGAGUGAUGAAAAAACAGUGCAUGCGUGCAUGUUCUGAAGUCUGAGCAAGGGGGAUAGAUUAAUAAUUAAUUUAUAAUUCACAAUCAUACAUCGUUUUGAUGACUUGGCAAGGAAUUGAUGAAAAGAGAGAACAAGAGCUGCAGGUAUAGAAGAAGCCUUAUAUGCUUACAGCGUGUUUGGUUUUGAGUCGUGUGUUUGUUCAAAAUAAAGCUAUCACUACUAAAAAAAACUUUUGCGAGAUGUUUUGAAAUGAGUCUUAGAGGAUUGCAAUUCUAACCGUCUCGAUUAAUACCACAUAUUAAUCGAGGCGGUUUUUAUUAACUGGGACAGUCAUAAAAAAUCACCUCACAAAAUCGAUUUACGGAGGUGGCUACAAAAUAACCGCCUCCUAAAAUCUAUUAACCGAGACGAGCAUUAUAGGUGGCUCGCCUCGAAAAAUUAGAGUAUUUUUUGAGGCGGGCCACUUAUAAGGCCUACCUCGGUUAAUAUUCCUUAGACCUAGAAAAAAGCCCAAGUCCACCUUAUAUUGGGUUUAUUAUAGAGCGAGUUAAGGUUUCACAUCUCCCUCACUCAAUCAUUCCUCACUCAGUCCAACAUCCCGACGCCCUCUCCCUCACUCAGCACGACCUCGACGCCACCUCCCCUCCCGCUAAACUGCCCCCUCUCGUCCUUCCCCAUCCCAUCGGUGCGCCCCUCCUUCUGUCGGUGCCCCCUCCCAUCCUCUCUUGUCGGCGUCCCUCCCCUCACCCCUCUUUCUCCUCUCUUGCGAUGGAUGGGACGCACGGGGCCUGCCCACCUCGUCCAGUGGCUUGGCCUCCAGGCGGGUGCGCAGGGUUGCCGUCUCCUCCAAUGGGCGUGGCCUCUCGGUGGGGAUCCGACGGUGGGGCCCCUCCCCACGUGGAUCCGGAGGCGAGAAGGCUGGAUCCGGGCGCUGGCAACGCGUGCGAGGCAGGCAGCGGUGCUCCUUCCUCCACCUCAGGCAACACAUGCGAGAUGGGCUCUCCCCCGAGCGCUACGGCUGAGCACCCUUCCCCUGCCCUAACACCGAGCGCGGCGACCUCUUCAUGGUAGAUCCGGUGCUGCGGCGCCCCAGCCCUACGCCUCCACCCUAGGAGCACCGCUCCCUCUCGGAUCUGUGUCCACGACAGUGGAUCCGCCAUGGAUCAGGCUCGUCUAGGUGGAUCUAGCUCCACGUGUGCGGCGGCGGCGGUGGCCGCGCCCUGCGGUGGCACGGGUAGCGGUGGAUGGGCUCGACUCUAGGCCCUAGAUGGGCUCAUGGCAGGCUCAUCUUUUUUUGUUUUAUUAAUGGUGGCGGGCACGGGGCAUUUGUCUGCCUCAGUAAAUGGAUGAUUUAUAGUGACCUUAGCUGCGAGGCGGAUGGAGAAACCGCCUCUAAAAACCAGUUUUGCCUAUCUCCGAAAAAAUUAUUGUAGUAUCCCUCGUUUAGUUUGCAAUACAGAACAAAUGAUUCAUCUGUCAUCGUCAUCGCUAAGCUGCCAACAAACUUAUCUUUUUUUUUCAUGAUCAGACCAUUUAUCCAUUUUUCAUUAAGAGAAAAAUAGUUAUCAGUGCAACAAACUUAUCCGAUGACGCUGUGUCAUGUGGUGCAAAAUUGGCGGACAACAUCUUUCAUCAUGGGUUUAAAUUCAAUGCAGACAACCGAACAUGUUGAAUGUUUCCAAUACAAUUCGCUUAUUACAUGUAUUAUUAUUGCAUUAUAUAUAUGCAAAAUAGUAGCAACAACAAGAACAAAAUAAUAACAAAAUAGUGUAUUGCAAGAGCUAGCUAUUUUGUUUCGUUUAUUAUUUCAAUACCUUGUACGUGUCAUUGUUGGAAACAACUUGCCACUAAGGAUGGCCUAGCUAAACCAAAUCAAAAAGAAAAAUAAAAGUAGUCGCGAAAUGCUGGCUUAAUUAUUCGCAGCCAAUAAAUAAUAAAACAGUCUGUACGCGUAGCUAGCUAGCGGCACAAAAUAUCUAUACAUAAUUAUCAUCUAUUUUACGUAUCUGAGAAAAGGUCAAUCAAAAAAAAACAAAGAAGAUGCUUCGCAAUCGCAUGAUAGGUAGCUAGAUCUAGAUAGCGUGUCGGUCAUUUUCUUGCUUCUUUUCUUCUCCGCGUGAAGGAAUUGAAGGAGACGAUGGCAAUGGGGCAUAGAUAGUAUAUUCCUCUCACCUGGACCAGGCCGCGCAAGUCGCAGUCAACUUCAUACGGCUGUGCUGGGCUGGUCUGGGCUGGGUAUGCACGCAUUGCAAGUAUAUUAGUACUACCAAAUAAAGCCCAUCAACAACAGAAGAAAAAAAGGAAAACAGGCCAGGGUCCUUUCUCGGCCCGACAUACAAAAGGCGAAGGAAUAGCCUCGAGGAUGCUCUCUAGUCUCUAGUCUCUGGCGCACUUCUCGGUUGUCGCUGAUUCUAUUCGUUGGUGCCCUCACCUAGCAUGCCCUGUGGGCCCCGGCCGACUAAUAUUUUAGUUUUAUUUUAUCUAUGUACAUAACGUUUACUAUGCACUUAGAUAUAUCCCAUGUCUAAGUAAAAAAGGAGUAUUUCCUAAUUCGAUAAAUAAUUAUAGAAUCUACAACACAAUUCGGUAAAUAGGCACUAAGAUAAUAUGAUAAGCAUUCAACUGGAAGAUUAAGUUGAAAACUUCCAUAAAUCAUAAUAUAAAUAGUUAGUUGGAACUAUAAGCAUUAACAAGACUUAUCAUACUAUAUUUGUCUAACUUUUCUAGCAGAAAUUGAAUAAAGCAGUAUAAAAGUACGUAGAGUUUUUCAAUGAGAGUUGAUGGUUGCAUAUUAGUGUCUCACCACAGCGGUUCGACCAUUAUUGACCGAUUGGCGAUAAGGCUAUUGCAUAUUAGUGUCUCACCACAACGGCUCGAUCAUUGCAUAUUAACAUACUGCUAAUUCGUUGCAUGGGUUUUGUAUGAUCCUUUUCAAGUCAUCGGCGGCACUUGGUUAUAUCUAAUUUGCACUCAUCAUCAAGCUUUGUUUAGCGUCAUUGCUUUGAAUUCUCACUAUCGAGGACGCAGUGUCCUAGAAGAGGCAAUAACUUCACAUACCACUAUCUAUAUUUGAUUAAUGCUUGAGGAUGGAAGGUAAUACAGACCCGACAACAAUGUCGACCAUACAUAAUGUGUUCCAACCAGCUUAGGGACUUAGGGCCAUGCUCAGGUAAUAGACCCACACACUAGGGUGUCAACUGUUGUGUGAUGGUGACUGAGUCCCUAAUUCUUAAUGGGAGCUUCAGCAAAGGUGAAGAUAACUUAUGCACAGACUGUCUCAACCGAGUAGGAGAGAUAAAGCUCGCCAAACUUGUUGAUGACGAAGUCUAAGAUUCCAAAAUGGAACUCCUAGUCCACGGUGAAUGUCCUAGUAAUGAAGAGAUUGCCUGCGGAGUGAACAAUAAAGUCUAGACUUCUUGCAUGAGAUGAUCGAGUAGAUGGUCCCUAUCUUGACGGGAGCAAUCUAGCCAUUGUAGAUGGAUCUGUGCAUGUGUUCCUCUAACUAUAGUGCUAGUUUUUGGUUUAUUUGUCACCAGCAAUACAACUAUAAGGUUGAUUCACACAAAAUUAAUAACUAUUAGGGUUAUAUCUGCGAGAUUAAACUAGACAGUACCACAUGACAGGGAUUCUCUAUACAAGUUUAAGCCCUUGGAGGAGGUAAUACCCUACAUCUCAUCUAAAUCAUGUGUUUAAUGAAUCACUGAGCACCUUUGCACGUGGACCGGUGCAACAGUACGUCCGUAGCAAAAAAACUAGAGGCAAGGAAGAAGGGAGCAACGAGAGUCACUGUGAAAACGAUGAGAGAUGGUUGGUGGGUGAUAGCGUCUCUAUGCCGGUGUCAGUCACACCAAAAAUAUAUAUAGCAUUCAUGAAUUUGUUAUUACACAUAUCUGGGGAAUGAAUAACUACCACCUCUCAUUAAAUUGAUGUACUUGCGAAGCUUUGAGAUUUUACAUUCCUAGCUAGCUAAGCUAAGCUAGCUAGUGGCCACCAAGGAUCCCGGCCUGUGACCUUAAAACCUCAAUCUAGCCAGUUGCAUCCAAUGUGUGGUGUGGCAACAUAACACACACAGACAAACUUGUUGAUGAUGAAGCCUAAGAUUCCAAAAUGGAACUCCUAGUCCACGGUGAAUGUCCUAGUCACGAAGAGAUUGCCCGCGGAGUCAAUAAUAAAGUCUAGACUUCUAGCAUGAGAUGAAGUAUAUUAUCCCUAUCUUGACGGGAGCAAAUCUAGCCUUUGUAUAUGGUUCUGUGCAUGUGUUCCUCUAUCUAUAGUGCUAGUUUUUGGUUUUUUGAUACCAACAAUACAACUAUAAGGUUGAUUCACAAAAAUAAUAACUAUUAGGGUUAUUUCCGCGAGAUUAAACUAGACAAUACCACAUGACAGGGAUUUUAUACAAGUUUAGGCAUUGUUUAGUUGAAGAGGUGAAAAGUUUUUGGGUACUGUAGCACUUUCUUUUUUAUUUAGUAAUUAUUGUCCAACCAUGGACUAAGUGGGCUCAAAAGAUUCAUCUCACAAAUUAAAGACAAACUGUAUAAUUAGUUAUUUUUUAUCUAUAUUUAAUGUUCCAUGCAUAUGACGCAAGAUUCGAUAUGAUGGAGAAUCUUGAAAAGUUUUGGGGUGAACUUAAACAAGGCCUUAAGCCCUUGGAGGAGGUAAUACCCUACAUCCCAUCUAAAUCACGUGUUUAAUGAAUCAUUGAGUACCUUUGCACGUGGACCGUUGCAACAGUACAUCCAUAGCCAAGAAAAAAACUAGAGGCAAGGAAGAAGGGAGCAACGGGAGCCGCUGUGAAAACGAUGAGAGAUGGUUGGUGGAUGAUAGCGUCUCUAUGUCGGUGUCAGUCACACCAAAAAAAUAUAUAGGGUUCAUGAAUUUGUUAUUACAGUUACAUAUAUAUGGAGAAUGAAUAACUACCACCACUCGUUAAAUUGAAGUACUUGCGAAGCUUCGAGAUUUUACAUUCCUAGCUAGCUAAGCUAAGCUAGUUAGUGGCCACCAAGGAUCCUGUGACCUUAAAACCUCAAUCCAGCCACUUGCAUCCAAUGUGUGGUGUGGACAAUAACACUCACACACUGAACGCAUAUCAGUCUUUUUUUUUUCUGGGCGUACCUUAUUAUUAUACGGAUUAUUGCCUUUGUAUAUAUGUAUAUUUCGUGGUAUGUAUAUAUAAAUAUAUGAUUGCUAAAAAUCAAAUAAAGCAGAUGGAUAGAUAUGGAUGGAUGGAGCACCCCAAGUCCACCAAAAACACAGGAAGACUUGGGUAUAUGCGUUUGUAGUGGUACAGAGACUGGAUGCAUGCAUAUGGCCUCCACACGCCCAUCGACAGACACAGAGGCUGGCACACAUCGUUCGAUCGAUGUAUGUAGUAGAUAGCUAGCUAGAUAGAUGGAUGGAUGGCUGGAAGCGACGAUGAGCAACGUGUGAUCCUCGUUGCACAAGCGAUAUCCCUCCGCAGAUAAGCCGAGCACUCACCGCCACUCCCUCCUCCCUCGCCCGCCGACGAUAAAUCAUCGCCGGCAGCCAGACGUAGUCUCCAUUGUCCCCUAGCUAGCUAGCUGGCAGAGCAAACAAAACACUCCAUAUUGUCGCUAGCUACCCAGCUUCUGAUUCUGCUACCUUGCUUAAUUAGCUAUAGCAAUCACACGCUAGCUAGCUAGUACUACAGUCCAGUAAUGGCCACCGCCCUGAGCAGCCUCCGCGCGCCGGCGGCCUUCUCCCUCGGCAUCGCCGCCGCCCCGGCUCCGGCGGCGGCCGCCACCGUGGUGGCGCUGCCCGCGGCCAAGCCGGCCCGCGGCGCCAGGCUGCGCGCGCAGGCCACGUACAACGUGAAGCUGAUCACGCCGGACGGGGAGGUGGAGCUGCAGGUGCCCGACGACGUGUACAUCCUGGACCAGGCCGAGGAGGAAGGGAUCGACCUCCCCUUCUCCUGCCGCGCGGGGUCCUGCUCCUCCUGCGCCGGCAAGGUCGUCUCCGGCACCGUCGACCAGUCCGACCAGAGCUUCCUCGACGACGCCCAGGUCGAAGGCGGCUGGGUGCUCACCUGCGCCGCCUACCCCACCUCCGACGUCGUCAUCGAGACGCACAAGGAGGAGGACCUCGUCGGCUAAUAAGCAGCCGCAUGCCAUGCACACCACACACCACACGAUCUGUAUGGGCCAAGCAAGCUAGCUAGCUACCAUGCCAUGCAUCCAUCCAUGACAGCAGCACAGCUCCAUGCAUCAUCAUCUGUUAUACUACUCUCUUAUUUAUAAUCCAAUUUUACUUCGGAUGCAUGAUAUGAUAUAUGAGUUUCACUAUGCUCAAGCAAAUCAAAUAAUAAUGUUUUUUUUUCUCUCCUCUUCAUUCAGUUUUAUUUGUGCUAGCUACUAUAUAUAUACUACAUAUACUUAACUGAACUUACCAAAAUUCAGUCUCUAAUCCCUGAACCUCCUAUACUCAUACGAGUUAUAAUAACACACUGUUAGCUAGCAGACUAGAUCGUAGAGGAUGAAUUUGGGAAGAACAAAUAGGUAGGAAGCAUAACAAUGCAAGGUAGGAGAGAACAGAGGAUAGUAUUGUUCAGCUCUCAAUCUCCCUUUAUACAUAGCAUUGCCUUAGCGUGAACCCACAGGCGCAGCUAUGUCUAGCCUAUAUAUGGUUCACGCCCACUCGGGACCAUGUUCUUCGCGCGCCUGGCUCAGAUGUCUGGUUCGGGUGCGCCUAGUUCACUGGUCACCGUGUCGCGCUCUGGUUCAGCCUUAUGUACGUGUUGGCCCUUCCACACACUUGGAGUUCAAUUUCUAGAAAAAUCGAAGCGCAUGGAUGUGAUCAUAUGAGACACAAAUCUAUAUAUGACUUCAUCCUUCAAUGAACAGUCAUGACUCAUGGCCUCCACACGCACAAUAACCAAUCAUCAUCAGUGGCCAUCAAUUGGUUUCCACAUUUUAUUUUCCAUGAGUGUGAGUCACUACUUUUGCUCUCAGUAAGUAAUUAAAUAGAAUGUGAAUUUCCGCCCCAUUAAUUCCCGUGAUGAUGAUGUUGAGGGCCGGUAAAAUUCAUGGCCAAAAUUGUUGAGGACGUACGUGAUCAAACAAGGAGAGGUUGGAGUUGGCCCCGCCAAGAAGAUAAGCCUACACGCUGGACUCACGCCAUCCCUUCGUUUCCAUCUCAUCUCUCUAUCUAACUCCAGCAGCCAGCCGCUAGUAGCUCGUCCAAAGCAAGCAGGCACACACACACACACACACACACGCUCCAGCCUCUCCUCGGCACCCACAACGACAUACAAUGGCCACCGUCCUGAGCAGCCUCCGCGCGCCGGCGGCCUUCUCCGUCCUCCGCGUUGCGCCGGCGCCGGCGCCCCCCGCCACCGUCGCGCUGCCGGCGACCGUGGCCCGCGGCGCCAGGCUGCGGGCGCAGGCCACCUACACCGUGAAGCUGGUCACGCCUGAGGGGGAGGUGGAGCUGAAGGUGCCCGACGACGUGUACAUCCUGGACCAGGCCGAGGAGGAAGGCAUCGAGCUGCCCUACUCCUGCCGCGCGGGCUCCUGCUCCUCCUGCGCCGGCAAGGUCGUCGCCGGCACCGUCGACCAGUCCGACCAGAGCUUCCUCGACGACGACCAGAUCGCCAGCGGCUGGGUGCUCACCUGCGCCGCCUACCCCACCUCCGACGUCGUCAUCGCCACGCACUUGGAGGACGAGCUCACCGCCGGCUCCUAAUCAUGCAUGCUUAUCUCUGUUCGUUAUUAGCUUCUUAUUCUUUACGCUCGUUACCUACUGCUUGUUGCUUUGCAAUUGCAAUUAUCUUAUUCAUCAUGUAAGCGUUGAGUUUUCAUCCGUGGAUCGAGAGACUCCCUACCAACCUUAUCUCUUCUUCGUCACGCCAAACGUCCUCGCACGUCGCGAUGUAGACACGGCCCGAUCUUUUCAUUGGUAGAGAACUCUGACAUUUACGAUCUUUGGAACUAAGUUUGAUUAUAUUCAGACCCCACAACCAAUACAUCACUGCUCCCCGUUGGUUAUCAGCCACACACAAUGUGAUUGAUUUGCCGAGAAGGCUUCCUACGAGCGAAUCGAGAACUCAAGUAAGAGCGGGGUGAACAUAAUCUUAAAUUGUAAGUAUGAAUGAAGUAUAUGAAUUUGAUAAGAGAUUCAAAUCUUGAUUCAAAAAGACUAGUCGACAAAGGCAAACAAGAUCAACAUUAGGGGCCCUGGUUCACAACUGUCGAUCUUGAUGAUACAAGUUCAACGAACAAUGCAGCAAACAAUAUAUGUUUCACAACAAAACAAGAACACAAUGAAACCCAACAACCCUAACGGGAGAAACAACGACUAAUUAAAGGGUCUUGGGCGUCAUCACCUCUAGAUGCACCCCCUAACACGAUCCACAGCCAACGAACCAAACAACAAUGUCGCAGCACAGUGGCAAAUUAUGGACAUUGACUUAUUUUGACGAUUCUUGUUGACUCAGGACGAAUCAAAAGCCAUUGGUUAGCUUAUUAAUUAUCUUUCCAUGCAUAUAUUGAUCGUCAAGAAUGGAGUAUGUAUACACUCUCGGGACUGGUCCUAAAAUCCGACAUUGAUUCCAACUUUAGUCGGACUAGGACUCGACCAUAAUGUGGAUGAGUUGGACGCCCACACUAGUCCUCCUAGUCUCUUUGGAUUGUACAUGAAGUAGUGAUGUCAUCAUCACACCCCUCUCUCCAUUGCUGCCCCCGUACACCACCGCCACUUGUUGCCCACUUCGGCGCCGGUGUCGCAUGUUCCUCGCACCACCACCGCCCGCUUGUCCCUACCUCCCCAUAGCAGUGAGGAGGUCACCGUAGCCACCAUGACCCCAUGACCUCCAAGGAGCUCUCAUUUGUGCAUCCAUGACCUCUUGCGUGAGGAGGAGCCCACCCUCUAAUUUGCUGCAAGAUUCGACUCAGUGGUGCGAGCCUGUUUGCUGGUCUGAAAAACCAUGGUUGAAAAUACUGUUCGUUGAUUUAUUGUGAGAGAAAAACACUCAUGGCUGGCAGAAAAAGUACGACUUACAAGACAAGUAGGCUCUUCACAAGAUCCCACGCCUCUUGAUGAGCUGUCUGUGGGCCUCGACCACACCAUUGACAACUCUCAUGCAGCCGCUCCCGUGUCUCUGACGACUCUGAUUGCUUUAGAAGAGCGACAGGGUGCACAAGCGGCUGCCCCUUCCACUCCAUUUGUAGGGAUGGGGCAUCCUGCGUCCCCCAAUAUGAAGGAAUACACCCUCGGUAUCCCGGUUCACUCUUUGACCCUGAAUCAAUCGUCGUCUAAAAUAGUAUGGACACACAUCCAACAUCACUCAACUCUCAAUCCAAACGCACAAUAUAUGUUCAGACAUGGUGUGGAGGUCAAUCCUAAAUGAAUUGGAAUUUAUGUCAUCAUAAUUGAUAAAACUACAAACCUCCUAUACCCAUAUAAGUUAGACCAGCUUAUAUCCUGGCACAAUACAGAAAUCGAUUCUCAUGCAAAUUAUUAGAACUAUAUAGAUGGCCAGAGUACACCCAGUCAUGACUUGUGGCUGCCACACGCACAAUAACCAAUCUGUGGCCAUCAAUUGGUCUCCACAGAUUAUUUUUCAUGUAUUGAGAGUCACCACUUUAUUUGCUCUGUAUAAUAAAUAUAUUUUUUGUAUCCUAAAAUAAGUGCACAUUUUGUACUUCGAAGAGUAAAAUAUUAUCAAAUUUAACUAGAGUUUUUUUUUUAAAAAAAAAUAUUAACAUCUGUACCUUUUAAUAAGUUUACUAUGAAAAAUACAUGAUGAGAUUUAUCUAUCCAAUGAUGUUUGUUUGAGAUCAUAAUCAUUAAAACUUUUUUGUAUGUAUUUAGUCAAACCUAAAAUUUGUUGAUGUGCACUAUAUAUUUUAGGGUGAAGGGAGUACAUACACUGUUCGUUAUUCACAUCACACACACAGUUUCUGGUGAUGUUGAGGGCCGGUAAAAUUGGUGGCCAAAAAUUGUUGGGGACGUUAUCACAUGAAAGGUUAGAGUAGGUCCGUUGUGCUUCCGGCCCCACCAAAAAGAUAAGCCUAACACGCUGCACUCGCGCCAUCCCUUCGUUUAUCUAUGUAUGUAUAUCUGCCGCCUCCUCCUCCUCCGACCCAACAACAACUCCAGCACACACACACACACACACGUAUACAGCCUCUCUUAGCUUAGCAGCUCCAGCACCGGCCGGCCGGCACCACAACAAUGGCCACCGUCCUGAGCAGCCUCCGCGCGCCGGCCUCGACCUUCCCCUCCUCUCUCCGCGUCGCGGCAGCACCGGCGGCGCCGGCCACCGUGGCGCUGCUGCCUGCGGCGGGCAACAAGGUACCGGGCAUGGCCGCCCGUGGCGCCAGGCUGCGCGCGCAGGCCACCUACAACGUGAAGCUCGUGACGCCGGAGGGGGAGGUGGAGCUGCAGUGUCCCGACGACGUGUACAUCCUGGACCAGGCCCAGGAGGAAGGCAUCGACCUGCCCUACUCCUGCCGCGCGGGGUCCUGCUCCUCCUGCGCCGGCAAGGUCGUCGCCGGCAGCGUCGACCAGUCAGACCAGAGCUUCCUCGACGACGACCAGAUCGCCGCCGGAUGGGUGCUCACCUGCCACGCCUACCCCACCUCCGACGUCGUCAUCGCCACGCACUUGGAGGACGAGCUCACCGGCUAAUCAUCAUGUGUUACAUAUGCAUGCAUGAUUGAUUAAGCGCGCGCGUAGUACUGCUGUUGUUUGUUGGUUUUGCAUGCAACUCAUGUAAGCGUGGAGUUUUC